UUACAAAUUCUGCAUUGUUUUCCCAUGGGUCAGAUUACCGUGACUACAUGUACAUUACCUUAUGCAUGGAGCCGAGAUAGCGCUCCCACUAAAAGUCUUCCUCCUGUCUUUUUCAGCUUCAAGAAAAACCAAUCAAUCCCAAUACAGCACAACAGUUACUUCCUUGUCGCGCAGCAGCACUGUUCACCAUCCGGCACAUCACUUGCUCUCUUUCAUAUGAGCCUCCCUCAUUAGACAAAUAUGACAAAUGAAUAAUUGAAGUAGUGCCAAAAAAGGAAUAACUGAAGUAAACAGCACAACAGCAAGAUCAUGAUAAUAAUACCACGCCAACUCAAAAUAAGAACAACAUGUCCGGAAUAUCUUAAACGCCACAAGGCGGCAAACAUCUGAAACCUGUCACAGUUGGCAAUAUAGUUCAGCAAAAUAACCAACCAAUGACACAAGCUGUUUGACAAAGCAUAAGCUAACAACAGGCAUCGAAGAGCUCCCGUUCAUCAAAAGUUCUGUCAAGAUCAAGUAGAUGCCAAAGUGUCAGGAAGCAGGCUCCUCAUAGCAGGUGUUCAUCUUUGGGGAAUACCAGAUGCCUCAGCAACUACCUUUGCGCCGAUAUCCUUAGCUAACUUUUUCCUCAUAAAAGCAAAGAACUUUUUGAAGCACUCAUAGAGAGCACCGCUAGCAUACUUCUUUAGUGCCAUGUACCCUGGAAGUUGAUGAUGUCCCAUCACAGACUGAGUAAACGCAAAGGUUAUCGGUGCAAAAUCUUCAGCACAGGUCAUAGCAGCCGCGACCUCAAGUUUUUCUUCUUCACUUAAAGGCUUCAGGUUAUAAGGCUUUGGCAUUGCGUGAUACUUCCAAGGGUUUGCUUGAAUCUUCCCUGCCAUUGCACUAACUAUUGUAUCAUUGAAUUUAUGCAUAUCCUGUAUGGAUUUCCAGCAGUCCAAAGUCUUCAGCUCUUUUACAACAGCAUGAGUGGUAGUGAUCAGGGCUUUACCAGCAGGAGCUGCUUUGCAUUGGAGAGCGAAAACUUCAGGUGUCGCAUCACGACCAACUUUUCUCUGAAGGACCUUCAUAGGCAUCUCCACACCAAUCCAUUGCAGAGCAGGACCAUAGAGGUCUUUACCUGUCAGGUAAGAUAGAGCAGGACCAACCGAUGAAGAAUCAGCAAACUUCCUUGCUUUGCCUUCAUAUUUAGCUGCAUUGUCAGAAUUCCGUGACCAUGUGCUACCAACCGUUCGGAACGCCAACUCGUGGAGAAAUGGUAGGAAGCAGACAAGCUUCCAAGCAUCAGAAAGGUAUUUCUCAAUGGCUCCCAGGUCAUUGGCAUAAAUUGUUGAAAUAUGAGAUGGGCCUAGAGCCCAUAUGACAAUUUCAGAUUUGAUCUCUAAGGGCCCAUGUAGGUGGCAUGACAAGGUGGUGGGAAGUUUAGUCCCACUCCGGAAGUGGCAGGAGAGUUGGAGUGGUUUAUAAGGGAUUCUCGUCCUCAUGCUAUUGGAGCUUGAGAAGAGAUGUGACCCUCGCACACUCCUCCUCCUCCGCUCGCCUCGUCACGAUGCGCCGCGGGUUGCGGAAUUGAGCCGAGCCGAGCUCACUCCUAUGCGCUUCUUUUUGCCGGUCAGGAACGGAGAGUCUUUGACAGGUGGGGCCACGAUCUCUCUCCACGAGAAGCCGCACAUAUAUAUGUGGGGAGCUGCCAACCCUGGCCGCCACAAAACAGAACGCAUCUCCGCCUCCACGCCCACGUCGUUCCUCUGCUGCUGCUGCCGUCGGCGACUCCGUCCCGUUCACCGCAUACACGGUUGACGGGAGAGCAGGCCUCUGAAACCCCGCUUCUCCGGAUCCUGUACAGGAGAGGGGCGAAAAGGUUUUUGGGUAGCGAUUACGCGACUGCUCGCUUCUGUUCAUCUACGUCCGCAUCACCUUCGUCAUCACCAUGUCGACCGACGCUGACCGUGUCGCCGCUGAGAAGGCCGAGGCCGACAAGAAGGCCGCCGAGGAUGCCGCGGCUGCUGUCACCGCCACCACCGCCGCGUGGCCGAUUGGAGGGUAUACAUCGUUUAUCCCUCUCGUGUUUCUUUCUGUUGUAGCAGUACUAGCGAUAUGCGUAGAUGUUUCUACUAUAUGCGUAGUACAUGCUCUGUUAGAUCGUAAUCAGUGUGUUAUCAAUGAUGUCCAUGUCAUGCUCAUGAUUUAUUCAUGGAUUAAUUUAAUCGAAAAACUUCCUAUUUUCUUAUCAAUCCAAAAACCUAAUUUGUGUAGGAGUUUUUCGAAUUCUGGUUUUGCUGCUGCACUGAAACCGUCCCCGUUUACGGGGACAUGCUUUAAGCGUUGGCAGACUAAAACCACCUUAUGGCUCACGACCAUGAACGUGUGACUCCCACAGGAACGAUCGCUCCUGAAUAGGAGAAGGCGUUCAAGGAGGCCACUGUCGUGUUCCUCGGGGCAGUUCUGAGCGUGAUUGGAGAUAAGUUGGUUGACGCAUAUCUGCAUGUGCGGUCUGCCAAGGACUUGUGGGAGGCGCUCGAAUCUAAGUUCGGGGCUGCCGAUGCAGGGAGCGAGAUGUAUAUUAUAGAGCAGUUCCAUGAUUACAAGAUGGUUGAAAACAGUCCUAUAUUGGAGCAGGCUCAUGAGAUAAUAUGCAUUGUUAAGGAGCUUGAGCUUCUUAAGUGCGAGUUACCGGGCAAGUUUGUCUCGGGCUGCAUAAUCGCUAAGCUUCCCAAUUCCCGGAGGAACUUUGCCACCACUCUGAAACAUCAGAGGCGUGAAUUCUCUGUGGAGGAUGUCAUUGGCCAUCUGAGUGUUGAGCAGAAUUCAAGGGCAAAGGACUCGCACGGAAAAGGGGUCGAAGGAACUUCUGUGGCCAACAUGGUGCAUCAGAAGAACUCCAAUUCCCACAAGCCCAAGGGAAAGAACGGUGUCCAACAGAGUGCCGACUUUAAGAAGAAGGGUAAGAAGACCUUCAAGAAGAACAAGAAGGAUGAGGGCUGCUUUACUUGUGGUUCGCUUGAACAUUGGGCCAACAAGUGCCCAAACAAGUAUAAGAAGCAAGGGCAGGACUCCAAGUCUGUCAAUAUGAUUGUGGGCAACAAUGAGAGUGGUGAAUCUGGGUACGGUAAUUUAUUUGUUGUAUUUUCAAUUCGGCCGUCCACCGAUUGGUGGGUCGACACAGGUGCAGGUGUUCAUGUGUGUGCUAACAUUUCAUUGUUUUCUUCUUACCAGGCCACAGGUCACGGGUCCGUACUGAUGGGGAAUGGCGCGAGUGCUUCUGUUCUUGGUGUUGGCACGGUCGAUCUGAAGUUUACUUCGGUAAGGAUCGUGCAGCUGAAGAACGUGCAUCAUGUCCCUGCCAUCAAGAAGAACCUCGUUAGUGGCUCCCUUCUAUGUAGAGAAGGGUUUAAGUUGGUAUUCGAGUCUAAUAAAUUAGUUGUUACGAAAUAUGGACUAUUUGUUGGAAAGGGUUAUGAAUGCGGAGGCAUGUUCCGCCUUUCUCUUGCAGAUCUAUGUAAUAAAGUCGUGAACAAUAUUCAUUUGAGUGUUAAUGAAUCUGAAGUAUGGCAUUCACGUCUUUGUCACAUUAGUUUCGGUGUUAUGACGCGGCUAGCAAAAUCGAAUUUAAUCCCGAGUUUCACUUUAGACAAAGGUUCUAAGUGCCAUUCGUGUGUGCAAUCUAAGCAACCUCGCAAGCCUCACAAGGCAGCAGAGGAGAGACACUUGGCGCCACUUGAACUCAUACAUUCUGAUCUUUGUGAGAUGAAUGGUGUGUUGACUAAAGGUGAAAAGAAAUAUUUCAUGACUUUGAUAGAUGAUUCCACUAGAUAUUGCUAUGUGUAUCUGUUAAAUACUAAAGAUGAGGCUCUACACUACUUCAAAAUCUAUAAGGCAGAAGUUGAGAAUCAACUUGAAAAGAAAAUUAAACGAGUCUGGUCAGAUCGUGGUGGAGAGUACUUCUCGAAAGAGUUUGAUGCCUUUUGUGCGGAACACGGCAUUAUUCACGAGAGGACGCCUCCUUACUCACCCCAGUCAAAUGGGGUUGCCGAGCGGAAAAACCGUACUCUAACUGGUUUGGUUAACGCCAUGUUAGAUACGUCGGGUUUAUCUAAGGCAUGGUGGGGGGAGGCCAUAAUGACAUCCUGUCAUGUCCUGAAUAAAGUUCCGACAAAGGAUAUCGAGAUCACUCCUUACGAGAAGUGGACCAAGAGAAGGACAACACUCUCGUACUUACGUACCUGGGCUGCUUGGCGAAAGUUAAUGUGCCGAUCCCCAAAAAGCGUAAGCUUGGACCAAAGACUGUGGACUGUGUUAAUUUGGGCUACGCUAUGAAUAGUGUUGGCUAUAGAUUUCUAGUAGUGAAAUCUGAGGUACUUGACAUGAAAGUCGGUACAAUUAUGGAGUCUAAAGAUGCUACAUUCUUUGAGGACAUUUUUCCCAUGAGAGAUGUACAAAGCACUUCUAGACAAGAAUCUGAGGAGACUCCUGAACCUGCCAUUCUGAUGGAAUAUUACAAUCAAACACAUGAUGAAAAUCCUGAGGAGGAUAAUGAGGAAUCCCUUGGUAGGGGCAAGAGACAAAGGACUGUAAAGACCUUUGGUGAUGAUUUCUUCAUAUACCUCGUGGAGGAUAAUCCCACUUCUAUUUCAGAAGCGUAUGCAUCUCCAGAAGCUGACUACUGGAAGGAUGCGGUCCGUAGCGAGAUGGAUUCCAUCAUGGCUAACGGGACUUGGGAGCUUACUGAACGUCCUUAUGGUUGCAAACCAUUGGGAUGCAAGUGGGUGUUCAAGAAGAAGCUUAGGCUCGAUGGUACGAUAGAAAAGUACAAGGCUAGGCUUGCGGCCAAGGGCUACGCCCAGAAAGAAGAAGACGAUUUCUUCGACACUUAUUCACCUGUGGCCAGACUGACCACCAUUCGAGUAUUACUCUCGUUGGCGGCCUCGCAUGGUCUUCUCAUUCAUCAGAUGGAUGUUAAGACGGCUUUCCUGAACGGGGAGUUAAAGGAGGAAAUCUAUAUGCAACAGCCUGAUGGCUUUGUGAUGGAUGGUCAGGAAGGAAAGGUGUGUAAGUUGGUGAAAUCUUUGUAUGGCCUGAGACAAGCGCCUAAGCUAUGGCAUGACAAGUUUAAUGAAACAUUGACAUCUGUUAGCUUUGUUGUUAAUGAGGCUGACAAAUGUGUAUACUAUUGCUAUGGUGGGGGCGAAGGAGUUAUACUGUGUUUGUAUGUUGAUGACAUACUGAUAUUUGGGACUAAUCUCAAGUUGAUCGAGGAGGUUAAGUCUUUCCUAUCUCAGAACUUUGAGAUGAAGGACCUUGGAGUGGCUGAUGUUAUCUUGAACAUCAAGCUAUUGAGAGAUGAUGAGGGUGGGAUUACACUUUUGCAAUCCCAUUAUGUUGAGAAGGUGUUGAGUCGUUUUGGAUAUUCGGACUGCAAACCAUCUCAAACACCAUAUGAUUCUAGUGUGCUGAUUCGAAAGUCUAAAGGCACAGCUAUAGAUCAAUUGAGAUACUCUCAGAUUGUUGGUUCACUAGAGUAUCUAGCAAGCGCAACGAGGCCUGACAUCGCAUUUGCUAUUAGCAAACUGAGUCGAUUUGUUUCCAAACCGGGUGAUGUACAUUGGCGUGCUCUUGAGAGAGUUAUGCGCUAUCUGAAAGGUACUAUGAACUAUGGACUUCACUAUACCGAAUACCCGUCGGUACUUGAAGGGUAUAGUGAUGCGAAUUGGAUCUCUAAUGCUGAUGAGAUGAAGGCCACAACUGGGUAUAUAUUUACUCUUGGAGGUGGUGCUAUUUCCUGGAAGUCUUGCAAGCAAACGAUCUUAACAAGAUCGACAAUGGAAGCAGAAUUAACAGCAUUAGAUACAUCGGGUGGCGAAGCAGAAUGGCUUCGAGAUCUGUUGAUGGACUUGCCAGUGGUUAAGAAGCCGGUUUCGGCCAUCCUUAUGAACUGUGACAAUCAAACAGUUAUUGUCAAGGUGAAGAGUUCAAAGGACAAUAUGAAGUCCAACAAACACAUAAGAAUGAGAUUGAAAGCUGUCAGAAAAUUGAGAAACUCUGGAGUGAUGGCGUUGGAUUAUAUUCAAACGGCUAAGAAUCUGGCAGAUCCCUUUACUAAAGGGCUAUCACGUGUUGUGAUAGAUUACGCAUCAAGGGAGAUGGGUAUGAGACCCACAUGAGUUGCCAUGGUAGUAACCCAACCUAUGUGAUCGGAGAUCCCGUGAAGUAGGACCUGGGAAAACAAGCCAGUGGUGAACUGAGGAGAGUAACUUUACUAACCCACUCCGUUGGAGAUGCAAUACUCUCGGAAAUUGUAUGGGAAGAUGACUACUGUCUUAAUGUGUUCCAAGGCUUAUAUGCAUAAGCAAGAUGCUAUCCUACAGAGCGGUCUUUGGAGGAACACACCUAUAUGAGCCUGACUGCUGGUCAUAGUCUAUGAGAUUGGGGUGAUCUCUAGCAAGCUCAUGAACAGGCCAGGAGUGUGACUAAUAUGCUCCACCCGAGGGGUCGGCCUUCGGCAGCCUCGUAUCAGUGAGACUUGUGGUGAAACUUCUUGACGCCAAACUGACAAUUCAAGGCAUAGUCCAUUGUUCAGUUGUGAAGGAGUGUAACUACUUGGUCUAGGUGGAGCUCAACCUUAAUCGGUCUCCACUGAGAUGCUGGUAUAUCAAAACAGCGUUUGGAACAAAGGACAAACUGGGCCCCUAAGAUCUGGUGGGGGAUAGUUGAAAUAUGAGAUGGGCCUAGAGCCCAUAUGACAAUUUCAGAUUUGAUCUCUAAGGGCCCAUGUAGGUGGCAUGACAAGGUGGUGGGAAGUUUAGUCCCACCCCAGAAGUGGAAGGAGAGUUGGAGUGGUUUAUAAGGGAUUCUCUUCCUCAUGCUAUUGGAGCUUGAGAAGAGAUGAGGCCCUCGCGCACUCUUCCUCCUCCACUCGCCUCGCCACGCCACGCCUUGCCUCGUCACGACGCGCCGCGGGUUGCGGGAUUGAGCCGAGCCGAGCUCACUCCUAUGCGCUUCUUUUUGCCGGUCAGGAACGGAGAGUCUUUGACGGGUGGGGCCAUGAUCUGAGACGUCAGAUCGUGGGCUACCUACUUGGACGUGGGUUCAGCCCACGUCUCUCCACGAGCAGCCGCACAUAUAUAUGUGGGGAGCUGCCGACCCUAGCCGCCAUGAAACAGAACGCAUCUCCGCCUCCACGCCCACGUCGUUCCUCUGCUGCUGCUGCCGCCGGCGACUCCGUCCCGUUCACCACAUACACGGUUGACAGGAGAGCAGGCCUCCGAAACCCCGCUUCUCCGGAUCCUGUACGGGAGAGGGGCGAUUAGGUUUUUGGGUAGCGAUUACGCGACUGCUCGCUUAUGUUCAUCUACGUCCGCAUCACCUUCGUCAUCACCAUGUCGACCGACGCCGAUCGUGCCGCCGCUGAGAAGGCCGAUGCCACAAGAAGGCCGCCGAGGAUGCCGCGGCUGCUGUCACCGCCACCACCGCCGCGUGGCCGAUUGGAGGGUAUACAUCGUUUAUCCUUCCCGUGUUUCUUUCUGUUGUAGCAGUACUAGCGAUAUGCGUAGAUGUUUCUACUAUAUGCGUAGUACAUGCUCUGUUAGAUCGUAAUCAGUGUGUUAUCAAUGUUGUCCAUGUCAUGCUCAUGAUUUAUUCAUGGAUUAAUUUAAUCGAAAAACUGCCUAUUUUCUUAUCAAUCCAAAAACCUAAUUUGUGUAGGAGUUUUUCGAAUUCUGGUUUUGCUGCUGCACUGAAACCGUCCCUGUUUACGGGGACAUACUUUAAGCGUUGGCAGACUAAAACCACCUUAUGUCUCACGGCCAUGAACGUGUGACUCCCACAGGAACGAUCGCCCCUGAACAGGAGAAGGCGUUCAAGGAGGCCACUGUCGUGUUCCUCGGGGCAGUUCUGAGCGUGAUUGGUGAUAAGCUGGUUGACGCAUAUCUGCAUGUGCGGUCUGCCAAGGACUUGUGGGAGGCGCUCGAAUCUAAGUUCGGGGCUGCCGAUGCAGGGAGCGAGAUGUAUAUUAUAGAGCAGUUCCAUGAUUACAAGAUGGUUGAAAACCGUCCUGUAUUGGAGCAGGCUCAUGAGAUAAUAUGCAUUGUUAAGGAGCUUGAGCUUCUUAAGUGCGAGUUACCGGGCAAGUUUGUCGCGGGCUGCAUAAUCGCUAAGCUUCCCAAUUCCCGGAGGAACUUUGCCACCACUCUGAAACAUCAGAGGCGUGAAUUCUCUAUGGAGGAUGUCAUUGGCCAUCUGAGUGUUGAGCAGAAUUCAAGGGCAAAGGACUCGCACAGAAAAGGGGUCGAAGGAACUUCUGUGGCCAACAUGGUGCAUCAGAAGAACUCCAAUUCCCACAAGCCCAAGGGAAAGAACAGUGUCCAACAGAGUGCCGACUUUAAGAAGAAGGGUAAGAAGACCUUCAAGAAGAACAAGAAGGAUGAGGGCUGCUUUACUUGUGGUUCGCUUGAACAUUGGGCCAACAAGUGCCCAAACAAGUAUAAGAAGCAAGGGCAGGACUCCAAGUCUGUCAAUAUGAUUGUGAGCAACAAUGAGAGUGGUGCAUCUGGGUACGGUAAUUUAUUUGUUGUAUUUUCAGUUUGGCCGUCCACCGAUUGGUGGGUCGACACAGGUGCAGGUGUUCAUGUGUGUGCUGACAUUUCAUUGUUUUCUUCUUACCGGGCCACAGGUCACGGGUCCGUACUGAUGGGGAAUGGCGCGAGUGCUUCUGUUCUUGGUGUUGGCACGGUCGAUCUAAAGUUUACUUUGGGAAGGAUCGUGCAGCUGAAGAACGUGCAGCAUGUCCCCGCCAUCAAGAAGAACCUCGUUAGUGGCUCCCUUCUAUGUAGAGAAGGGUUUAAGUUGGUAUUCGAGUCUAAUAAAUUAGUUGUUACGAAAUAUGGACUAUUUGUUGGAAAGGGUUAUGAAUGCGGAGGCAUGUUCCGCCUUUCUCUUGCAGAUCUAUGUAAUAAAGUCGUGAACAAUAUUCAUUUGAGUGUUAAUGAAUCUGAAGUAUGGCAUUCACGUCUUUGUCACAUUAAUUUCGGUGUUAUGACGCGGCUAGCAAAAUCGAAUUUAAUCCCGAGUUUCACUUUAGCCAAAGGUUCUAAGUGCCAUUCGUGUGUGCAAUCUAAGCAACCUCGCAAGCCUCACAAGGCAGCAGAGGAGAGACACUUGGCGCCACUGGAACUCAUACAUUCUGAUCUUUGUGAGAUGAAUGGUGUGUUGACUAAAGGUGGAAAGAAAUAUUUCAUGACUUUGAUAGAUGAUUCCACUAGAUAUUGCUAUGUGUAUCUGUUAAAUACUAAAGAUGAGGCUCUACACUACUUCAAAAUCUAUAAGGCAGAAGUUGAGAAUCAACUUGAAAAGAAAAUUAAACGAGUCCGGUCAGAUCGUGGUGGAGAGUACUUCUCGAAAGAGUUUGAUGCCUUUUGUGCGGAACACAGCAUUAUUCACGAGAGGACGCCUCCUUACUCACCCCAGUGAAACAGGGUUGCCGAGCGGAAAAACCGUAUUCUAACUGAUUUGGUUAACGCCAUGUUAGAUACGUCGGGUUUAUCCAAGGCAUGGUGGGGGGAGGCUAUAAUGACAUCCUGUCAUGUCCUGAAUAAAGUUCCGACAAAGGAUAUCAAGAUCACUCCUUACGAGAAGUGGACCAAGAGAAGGACAACACUAUCGUACUUACGUACCUGGGUGUAACACUCUCGAUGCGACUAUAUCUCCCACGUGUCGAGGAACGACUUAGAGGCAUAAUCGCAUUGAAGGCAUAUGUCGCAAGUUAGGCAAUCUUCACAACAUCCCAUGUAAUAUAGAUAAUAAAAGGGGAGAUAACAUAGUUGGCUUACACUCGCCACGUCAAUCAAGGUACAUAAAUAACAUUACAUUAACCAAACACUCAUGGCCCGACUAUGGCGCCAAAAUAAAAGAUAACCCAACAAGCGACACGGUCCCGAUCACCCCCAACUGGGCACCACUACUGAUCAUCAGGAAAGGAAACAUAGUAUCAUUGAGAGUCUUCGUCGAACUCCCACUUGAGCUCAAGCGCGUCACCUGGAGCGGAAUCAUCAGGCCCUACAUCUGGUGUAAUAGUAAUCUGUGAGCCACAGGGACUCAGCAAUCUCGCACCCUCGCGAUCAAGACUAUUUAAGCUUAUAGGUAAGGCAAGGUAAAUAUGUGGAUCGGCAGCAAGCGACUAGCAAAUAUGGUGGCUAUCCUGUUCGCAAAAGAGAGCGAGAAGAGAAGGCAAAGCGCAAGCGAGAAACUAGAGAACAACCUGCGCAAACAUUACUCCAACACCGUGUCCACUUCCCAGACUCCGCCGAGAAGAGGCCAUCACGGUAACACACUCAGUUGAUUCAUUUUAAUUAAGUUAAGGUUCAAGUUAUCUACAACCGGACAUUAACAAAUUCCCAUCUGCCCAUAACCGCGGGCACGGCUUUCGAAAGUUCAAAUCCCUGCAGGGGAGUCCCAACUCAGCCCAUGACAAGCUCUCAGAGUCAACGAAGGAAUAGACCUCCUCCCAAGACGUUCCGAUCAGACUCGGUAUCUCGGUUCUUCAAGACACUUCGACAGGUUAAAACAAGACCAGCAACACCGCCCGAAUGUGCCGACAAAUCCCGAUAGGAAUUGCACAUAUCUCGUUCUCAGGGCACACUCAGAUGAGAUCUCCAUACAACUAAAACCAAACCUCGAGUUUCCCCGAGGGGGCACUGCACAGGACUCUAGUUUGGACCAACACUCAGAGGAGCACUGGCCCAGGGGGGGCUAAAAUAAGAUGACUCUCGGACUUCGGAAACCCAAUGUAAAAAGAGGCUAGGUGGCAAAUGGUAAAACCAAGGUUGGACAUUGCUGGAAAAGCUUUAAUCAAGACGAACUAUCAAUGGGUUUCCAUUAUAACCCAACCGCGUAAGGAAUGCAAAAUCCGGGAACAUAACACCGAUAUGACGAAAACUAGGGCGGCAAGAGUGGAACAAAACACUAGGCGAGAGGCCGAGCCUUCCACCCUUUACCAAGUAUAUAGAUACAUUAAGAUAACAUGGCAAUAUAAUGGUAUCCCAACAAGUAAAUAAAAGUUCCAACAAGGAACGGUCUCCAAUCUUCACCUGCAACUAGCAACGCUAUAAGAGGGGCUGAGCAAAGCGGUAACAUAGCCAUUCAACGAUUUUCUAGGACAUGGUGGGUUAGAGGUUUGACAUGGCAAUUUGGGAGGCUUGAAAGCAAGUAGUAGGCAUCGUAGCAUUGGCAUAGCAAAAGAGCGAGCAAUCUAGCAUAGCAAAGAUAGUAGUGAUUUCGAGGGUAUGAUCAUCUUGCCUGCAAAGUUGUCAGAGUUGACUGGAUCCUCGAAAGCAAACUCAACGGGCUCCUCGAUAGCGAACUCGUCUCCCGGCUCUACCCAAACAAGACAAACAAGCAAACGGAACACAAUCAACCACGUGCCAAGCUCAAACAAUAUGAUGUAAAGAUGGUAUGCUAUGCGAGAUGCGGUACGGGAUGCAUAUGCAAGAUUUGACAAGGGAUGCAUGAACCUGGCCUCAACUUGGGAAUCCAAGUGUGCCACUGGAAAGAUGAGAUGAAAUCGCUUGAAAACAAUAUAAAGAACGCCGGAAUCGGAGUUACGGUUUGGAAAUGACAAGCGAUUCAAAUAUGACCACGUUCUGCGAUUUACAGUAAGUAGCCAUCUAAAUGCAAUGAGAUGAGCAUGCUACAGCACCCAAACAUGACAACAAAAUACAUGGCAGGGAUACAUUCAUGAUGCUUAACAAAAGUCUAGCACUGAGCUACAGCCAAUUCAUCCAUUAACAGGCUCAAACAAGCAUGGCAAAAAUGCAUAUGGUAAACAGAUUUCAGACAUAGUGAAAUUAACACUUGUCUGGAAUUUCAGAUCAGGUAGCACUCUUCGGAGCAACAAAACUAUAUUCUAAAGGACCUGAACAUGGCAAAGUAAAGCAUGGCAUGGAGCUACUCAAAGAGCUUAACAAAAGUCCCUUGGUGACCUUGAGACAAAAGGGAUCAGAAAAUACAAUUGCAAGCAUGUGAACAUGGCAAAAACAUAAUCAGUUCUCAGACUUAGUGAAAACUGGAGCAUGCUGCAAACAGAUAUCAAGUAGGCAUGUUUACGAGCUCGAUGCACUCACUACAGAGCAAGUCAUGACCAAUUAAGCAUACACCCAUCAAGAAUACACAAAAUACAAGUUAUACAUGGCAAGAACAAUAGCAUAGUAUGCACAGAUCAACUACAACAUCAUCGGCAAAAUCGCUAACAAGUAGACAAUGUGCCCAGAUUCACGAAGUAGCAAAAGUAGAGCUCGAUUGACUCAAGCUAGGGUUCUCCAUAAUUUCAAACAAAGACAUGGAUGGAUAGAGCACUACAAGAUUAACAAAACAUCCUUACUAAUCAUCCUCAAAAGAGACACGGAUCACUAGGAAGCAAUAUGAACAUAUGGCCAUAUGAGAUAAACAGCUCAAGGACUUAGUGGAAAUGCUAAGUCUCUGAAAUCAGCUUUACCAAGUACCUCACUUUGCAAGCUUGUGCUAGUCACCACACACAUCGCAAAAAUACAUGGGUUACACCUCUGGAAAGAUGACAAAACUCUUAACAAAACAUAUGUAGAGCUCAUGGGCAUAUCAUGCACACAAUAAUCAUGGCAAAAAUGACAAAUAUCUAAAUGGAGUAGCAGAUCUGACAAUUAUCUCAAGUAGCCCUCUUCUAACAGCAUUUCGGACAUCAAUAUAAACUCGAAUGAAAAUGAUGCAAUGGAAUGAAAUGACGUACUCUCUGAGAUAAACAUUUUGAUAUGCUAUAUGUCCAAAACGGAGCUACGGAUGCAAAGUUAUGAUGCGAUGAACAUGGCAAGAUAAUUAAGGUUUCGGGGCAAAAAGUCAACCGAAUCUCAGAUCUGGAUCGGGUUUGCACGCGGUUCGAGGAUGGCUGGGGAGCUUGCCGGAGUUCGUCGCCGGACUUGGCAGGCACGCCGGCCGGAGGAGAGGAGGACGACGGGGUGGCGUGGUGCGGCGUCGAGGUGGAGGCGGCGGGCCUCGCGGUGGGCGNNNNNNNNNNNNNNNNNNNNNNNNNNNNNNNNNNNNNNNNNNNNNNNNNNNNNNNNNNNNNNNNNNNNNNNNNNNNNNNNNNNNNNNNNNNNNNNNNNNNNNNNNNNNNNNNNNNNNNNNNNNNNNNNNNNNNNNNNNNNNNNNNNNNNNNNNNNNNNNNNNNNNNNNNNNNNNNNNNNNNNNNNNNNNNNNNNNNNNNNNNNNNNNNNNNNNNNNNNNNNNNNNNNNNNNNNNNNNNNNNNNNNNNNNNNNNNNNNNNNNNNNNNNNNNNNNNNNNNNNNNNNNNNNNNNNNNNNNNNNNNNNNNNNNNNNNNNNNNNNNNNNNNNNNNNNNNNNNNNNNNNNNNNNNNNNNNNNNNNNNNNNNNNNNGGGGCGAAGGCGCGGCGGCGCCGCGAAUCCGGACCGCGGGGGCCGGCGACGGGCUCCCCGGGCCGCGCGGUGGAGGAGGCGGCGGUCCACUCGGGCGGCAACACGUGGCGGUGGCGGCGUGGGUCGGACGUGUCCGGCCCGGCGAAUUUUGUCCGGCGGCGGCGGAUCUGGGAUUUUAGGGUUUCGCCCGGGAUUUCGAAUGGGGGGUCUUUAUAUAGGCAUAAAAGGAGCUAGGAGAGUCCAAAUGAGGUGCGGUUUUCGGCCACGCGAUCGUUGAUCGAACGCUCUAGAUGAUGGAUAGGGUUUAGGUGGGUUUUGGGCCAAAUAGAAGGGGUGUUGGGCUGCAACACACACAAGGCCUUCUCGGUCCCUCGGUUAAUCGUUGGAGUAUCAAACAAAGUCCAAAUGGCACGAAACUUGACAGGCGGUCUACCGGUAGUAAUCCAAGGCCGCUUGGCAAGUCUCUCUCCAAUCCGGAAAUGUUUAAUCCCCACACACGAAAGAAAGGUAGAAAUGACCACCGAAGGAGAACGAAGCGCCGGAAUGCAAAACGGACAACGAGGAAAAUGCUCGAAUGCAUGAGAUGAACACGUAUGCAAAUGCAAUGCACAUGAUGACAUGAUAUGAGAUGCAUGACAACGAUAACAACAUACGGAGACAAAGACCCGAACCCGAGAAAAUAAAAUAACUUAACGCCGGAAACGGCAAGAGUUGGAGUACAAAUUAGGAAAGUCAUAUCCGGGGUGUUACACUGGGCUGCUUGGCGAAAGUUAAUGUGCCGAUCCCCAAAAAGCGUAAGCUUGGACCAAAGACUGUGGACUGUGUUAAUUUGGGCUACGCUAUGAAUAGUGUUGGCUAUAGAUUUCUAGUAGUGAAAUCUGAGGUACUUGACAUGAAAGUCGGUACAAUUAUGGAGUCUAAAGAUGCUACAUUCUUUGAGGACAUUUUUCCCAUGAGAGAUGUACAAAGCACUUCUAGACAGGAAUCUGAGGAGACUCUUGAACCUGCCAUUCUGAUGGAAUAUUACAAUCAAACACAUGAUGAAAAUCCUAAGGAGGAUAAUGAGGAAUCCCUUGGUAGGGGCAAGAGACAAAGGACUGUAAAAACCUUUGGUGAUGAUUUCUUCAUAUACCUCGUGGAGGAUAAUCCCACUUCUAUUUCAGAAGCGUAUGCAUCUCCAGAAGCUGACUACUGGAAGGAUGCGGUCUGUAGCGAGAUGGAUUCCAUCAUGGCUAACGGGACUUGGGAGCUUACUGAACGUCCUUAUGGUUGCAAACCAUUGGGAGGCAAGUGGGUGUUCAAGAAGAAGCUUAGGCCCGAUGGUACGAUAGAAAAGUACAAGGCUAGGCUUGCGGCCAAGGGCUAUGCCCAGAAAGAAGAAGAAGAUUUCUUCGACACUUAUUCACCUGUGGCCAGACUGACCACCAUUCGAGUAUUACUCUCGUUGGCGGCCUCGCAUGGUCUUCUCAUUCAUCAGAUGGAUGUUAAGACAGCUUUCCUGAACGGAGAGCUAAAGGAGGAAAUCUAUAUGCAACAGCCUGAUGGCUUUGUGAUGGAUGGUCAGGAAGGAAAGGUGUGUAAGUUGGUGAAAUCUUUGUAUGGCCUGAGACAAGCGCCUAAGCAAUGGCAUGACAAGUUUAAUGAAACGUUGACAUCUGUUAGCUUUGUUGUUAAUGAGGCUGACAAAUGUGUAUACUAUUGCUAUGGUGGGGGCGAAGGAGUUAUACUGUGUUUGUAUGUUGAUGACAUACUGAUAUUUGGGACUAAUCUCAAGUUGAUCGAGGAGGUUAAGUCUUUCCUAUCUCAGAACUUUGAGAUGAAUGACCUUGGAGUGGCUGAUGUUAUCUUGAACAUCAAGAUAUUGAGAGAUGAUGAGGGUGGGAUUACACUUUUGCAAUCCCAUUAUGUUGAGAAGGUAUUGAGUCGUUUUGGAUAUUCGGAUUGCAAACCAUCUCAAACACCAUAUGAUUCUAGUGUGCUGAUUCAAAAGUCUAAAGGCACAGCUAUAGAUCAAUUGAGAUACUCUCAGAUUGUUGGUUCACUACAGUAUCUAGCGAGCGCAACGAGGCCUGACAUCGCAUUUGCUAUUAGCAAACUGAGUCGAUUUGUUUCCAAACCGGGUGAUGUACACUGGUGUGCUCUUGAGAGAGUUAUGCGCUAUCUGAAAGGUACUAUGAACUAUGGACUUUACUAUAUCGAAUACCCGUCGGUACUUGAAGGGUAUAGUGAUGCGAAUUGGAUCUCUAAUGCUGAUGAGAUGAAGGACACAACUGGGUAUAUAUUUACUCUUGGAGGUGGUGCUGUUUCCUAGAAGUCUUGCAAGCAAACGAUCUUAACAAAAUCGACAAUGGAAGUAGAAUUAAUAGCAUUAGACACAUCGGGUGGCGAAGCAGAAUGGCUUCGAGAUCUGUUGAUGGACUUGCCAGUGGUUAAGAAGCCGGUUCCGACCAUCCUUAUGAACUGUGACAAUCAAACAGUUAUUGUCAAGGUGAAGAGUUCAAAGGACAACAUGAAGUCCAACAAACACAUAAGAAUGAGAUUGAAAGCUGUCAGAAAAUUGAGAAACUCUGGAGUGAUAGCGUUGGAUUAUAUUCAAACGGCUAAGAAUCUGGUAGAUCCCUUUACUAAAGGGCUAUCACGUGUUGUGAUAGAUAACACAUCAAGGGAGAUGGGUAUGAGACCCACAUGAGUUGCCAUGGUAGUAACCCAACCUAUGUGAUCGGAGAUCCCGUGAAGUAGGACCUGGGAAAACAAGCCAGUGGUGAACUGAGGAGAGUAACUUUACUAACCCACUCCGUUGGAGAUGCAAUACUCUCGGAAAUUAUAUGGAAAGAUGACUAUUGUCUUAAUGUGUUCCAAGGCUUAUAUGCAUAAGCAAAAUGCUAUCCUACAGAGCGAUCUUUGGAGGAACACACCUAUAUGAGCCCGACUGCUGGUCACAGCCUAUGAGAUUGGGGUGAUCUCUAGCAAGCUCAUGAACAGGCCAGGAGCGUGACUAAUAUGCUCCACCCGAGGGGUCGGCCUUCGGCAGCCUCGUAUCAGUGAGACUUGUGGUGAAACUUCUUGACGCCAAACUGACAAUUCAAGGCAUAGUCCAUUGUUCAGUUGUGAAGGAGUGUAACUACUUGGUCUAGGUGGAGCUCAACCUUAAUCGGUCUCCACUGAGAUGCUGGUAUAUCAAAACAGCGUUUGGAACAAAGGACAAACUGGGCCCCUGAGAUCUGGUGGGGGAUUGUUGAAAUAUGAGAUGGGCCUAGAGCCCAUAUGACAAUUUCAGAUUUGAUCUCUAAGGGCCCAUGUAGGUGGCAUGACAAGGUGGUGGGAAGUUUAGUCCCACCCCGGAAGUGGAAGGAGAUUUGGAGUGGUUUAUAAGGGAUUCUCUUCCUCAUGCUAUUGGAGCUUGAGAAGAGAUGAGGCCCUCACGCACUCUUCCUCCUCCGCUCGCCUCGCCACGCCACGCCUCGCCUUGUCACGACGCGCCGCGGGUUGCGGGAUUGAGCCGAGCCGAGCUCACUCCUAUGCGCUUUUUUUUGCCGGUCAGGAACUAAGUCUUUGACAGGUGGGGCCAUGAUCUGAGACGUUAGAUCGUGGGCUACCGACUUGGACGUGGGUUCAGCCCACGUCUCUCCACGAGCAGCCGCACAUAUAUAUGUGAGGAGCUGCCAACCCUAGCCGCCACGAAACAGAACGCAUCUCCGCCUCCACGCCCACGUCGUUCCUCUGCUGCUGCUACCGCCGGCGACUCCGUCCCGUUCACCGCGUACACGGUUGACGGGAGAGCAGGCCCCCGAAACCCCGCUUCUCCGGAUCCUGUACGGGAGAGGGACGAUUAGGUUUUUGGGUAGCGAUUACGCGACUACUCGCUUCUGUUCAUCUACGUCCGCAUCACCUUCGUCAUCACCAUGUCGACCGAUGCCGACCGUGCCGCCGCUGAGAAGGCCAAGCCCGACAAGAAGACCGCCGAGGAUGCCGCGGCUGCUGUCACCGCCACCACCGCCGCGUGGCCGAUUGGAGGGUAUACAUCGUUUAUCCCUCUCGUGUUUCUUUCUGUUGUAGCAGUACUAGCAAUAUGCGUAGAUGUUUCUACUAUAUGCGUAGUACAUGCUCUGUUAGAUCGUAAUCAGUGUGUUAUCAAUGCUGUCCAUGUCAUGCUCAUGAUUUAUUCAUGGAUUAAUUUAAUCGAGAAACUGCCUAUUUUCUUAUCAUAAAUCUCAGCUGAGUUCUUCGGAGGCGAACAAAGCCUUGAAUAUUUAUGUCCAUGGUACCAGCCAGCAGAAAAUGCCUGAGCUCGUAGAACCGCCCACUUAAUUUGCCAAGCUGAAGCGCCUGCACUUUAGCCAGGGCGUACACCUGAGAAAGUAGCUUCCGAUCAGGUUUCCAAAAUGCAGACCCUCGGCAAAUGCUAUCAACUGCACAUGGCUCAAAUUGUAUAGUGUCUGGCAUUAGGAAGUACUCUGCUUUCUUCAAUGAACCUAGAGCCAGGCUCUCAGCAUCAUAACAUGGGGCGCCAUUUAUUUCUUCCAAAAUCUCCAUUGCCUCUAGGAAUUCCUCAGUCUGGCACUCCUCAGGGAUAGGUGAAUCUUCUGUGACCCUAAUACCAGCAUCAGUUAUAAAUCCUUGAUAUAAUUCAGGGUGCCUUGUCCUGUAAAUUUCUUCGAUGUCCAACUUGGGCCUUUUAGCAAUCCUUUGCUGGACCGAACUUGAAGCACCAUAAGUUUGUACUUGAUGUCGGAGGGUAGGAUUCUCUGUCAAGCCUUUACAAUUUUUUCUUGGCUCACCGUUGUCAUGGCUUUGAUCAUUGUUUUCGUUUGUUGGUGUGCUGCCAGGUACAUACGGAUCAGCCGCCUUUAACUGCGCUUGUGCCUCGUCUGUGAAAUAUGCCUUGUGAUAUCGCUUCGUGUAUUCAAGCACCGGUGGUGGUAUAGGGUACCCAUGAGCAUUAGCACUAAGCAGCCUUCUGACACACACUUUUCUUGUCUUGGUAAGAUACUCAAGUCCUGCAUUGUUCUCGAGAAUUGUGGAUAGCUCGGGCGCGUUGAUGCACACAGGAACAAUAAUGCUGGACAUCCUGACAAAAAUAAAGAAUCUGAGUUGUCAUUAAAUUAUUAACACGGUAGCCAAGUAAUACACAUAUGUACACCAACUUUUUAUAUAAGCACGAGAACUGCUAUUUGUUCAUUGAAGAAGGGACCAGGGUUGACCACCAAAAACAGUAUUCAUCGACCCAUAUAAAUGGGAAAAAUACAAUAAUAAAGGAUUUGAUUAUUUGUUGGUUACCCAACACCAGAUCUCACUUUUGUUGGAAUGUGCACGAAAACUUUAUUUGCACCUGCCAAUUUCCAGAGCUAAAUAAAGCCCAUCACGUUUAUAUGGUUCUUGUUUGGUGAGAAAUGCUAGUGAAGAUAGCAAAUCAUUUCCCUUUGCCUAACAUCCAUGAAACAAAACCAUUAUACUGUAUUUGGACGAUUGGGGAUUUUUGGCUUCCAGCCACAACUAGAUCGGAACCGAUUUUCUUGAAAACAACAUCUGAAACUGUCAGAAAUAAAUAUGUGGGUGAUCACUUGAAUGGUACUUGCACCUAAGUGUGACCUGCAAAAACAACAGGUUUUGUGCCAAAAUGUUUGCUGUUUUAGCUAUUGAAGCUUUUUUUCACAUGAAAAGAAAAUCAUACAUUCGAGCAUUUAUUCAAGCACAAGCAGGGCGGAGCUGGUACACAAUUGUUGUGUGCCAAUGAACCGAAUGGAAUUCAUAGACUUUUCAUUAAUCCAGUCUUUGUUAUUGCUCAUUCCUGAAAGAUUAUACCGCAAACAAGGAAACUGACCCCAAUGAUCUGAUUCUCUAGCUUCGCCAUCAUGCACCUGUGCGCUUUUUUCUCAAACUUUUAUUUCUCGAACAUGUACCCGAAUGUGUGUCAUUUUGUGUUAGCUGAAAAUGUCAGCAUGAUGCGAAUCGUACAGUUCAAAAGCUAUGCAUCUGAAUUUUCUUAUAAAACGUGUACCUGCCAAAAUUGGUGGAAAAUGUGUUUCGGCUUCUAGAAGAAAAAUUGAGACAUGGGCAAUAUCAAUUAUAGUGUUUACAGAAGUACAGUACAUGGAAAAUACAUGUCCAAUCUUUCAUUUGUACAGUUCGCAACCACACGGUGCACACCGCUUCACCUUGAUGGCUUUCAAACAUGUUCGUCGGCAAUUGAAUGUAGUUAUUCAUGUUCUAGCUAAAUCUAGUAUGAACUCUAGUAGUCUCUGUGUCUUUAAGUGUGUCCCAGACUGUAUUUGGGGUACCUACCAAGUUUGCAGAUCUAUGUUAUUUACCCCAAAAAAAAAAUCUAUGUUAUUUCUAAGAAAAACACGGUGCAGGUAUCCCUCCAAAGAAAAGUUUGCGGAUCUAUGUUUUUUCUAAGAAAAACUAUUUUCUUGUAGGAAAAAAGGUCCACAGAGUCAAUUUUGGAAAUGGACUGUGGACGUGUUUAAUUUCGCUUCCCCUCCCUUUUCGUUGCGCCGAUCUCGCAUCAAAAUUGGUCGGCGGCAGCAACCUUCUCCGGAUGAACGCUCGACUAUGUGGUUUAAUUGGGAACUCGGGAAGAAGAACCAAUUUCACAAAAAGAAAAAAAACACAAAACUGAAACCAAACUGCCAAAGCAACGACGCCAUGCAGGUAUAGCUGCGACCGCGGCCUUUGAAGCGCAUGAGAUGAGAGCAAGGUCAAAGUCGAGGGAUCGAUAGAGGAAACGAACGUAUAGACUCUAGUUAGGGUUCUGGCGGAAGAUUUGAAACCAAGUAAAAUUAAAUGAAGAAAAAAAGAUAGAUGAGCGUACGCCAUCGAUCCUCCUCACCUUUCCGACGGCGGCGCGGAUGGAUCGAUGUCGGAAUUUCCUGCUCCUCCGAUCCGUGACCACCAAUGCAGAACACCGCUGGCCUCCUGCGCCCUCUACUGGCACCGGAGAAGGAGAGUCGUCCACCCUCUGCUACUUCCCGGGGACUGGGAGGAGUAUGUGUGUGUGUGUCAAAGGUGGAUUGAGAUAGAACUACUAGUAGUAUUGAAUGAAGAAGCCGAAGGGACAUUGAGACUAAAAUUGAAGUGAACAGGCAGGAGACUCGUCACCUCCCUCUAGACGGAUACGUGUCGCCCUCUCCCUCCGCAGUUUUCUAAACAGCCCCGUCACGUACACGAGCAUACACAAGUCAGGUCACCUAUCGGAUAGAUGUCAGGUCGUGCCACGUCUCUCGCCUUCACAACCAUUGUAGGAUGUCGUGUCUUGAAAUGCCUACUCGGCUCUUGUACGCCGCGGCCUCGCCAGUCGGCAUGGCUUGUGCACUCGUGCGCUGCACAAUGCACAUGCCCUCUCCUCACACCUUCACUGGCCCGUGAAUCAACCGGCCGGCUCUUUACAUCUGCUCGUGUGGCUCCGGAUGGAAGCAUAAGGGCAACUCCAACGACGCAAACUAUCUGCGCGCGUCCGUUUGAAUCGAAACCGCAACCCAACAUGCCGGCCCAAACGGACGAACGUCCGUUUUUUUUUAGCACGCGAUCCAUUUCUGACUCAAAUUUGGGUUAGGUUUGUGGCAACGCGGAUGCGCGCGGCGCCUGCCCUCUUGUCCCCCUGGCUCACCAAUCGGUGGCACAUUGGUCAUUCUCCCCUUUUCCCAUCAACAACCAACACACCCGGCCACCUAGGCAUCGCCCCCGCCGACCAAUUCCGGCUGGUUGUACGCUGCCCAGGCCGCCGCCCGCACCCACCCCCCAGCAACACGCCGCACUCGACGGUUGGUGGACCGUUUUCGCCGCCAUCGUAGCACCCCCACGUCCAUGCCACCCCCCUCACAAUGACAUCAACGUGGUUCAGCACUCUCCGAUGUUCGCAAGGCUUGCAAAAGGCAGCUGUCCAGAGGUCAAUGUUGAGAUUAAUAGCCACCGCUACAACAAAGAUACUACCUAGCUGAUGGUAUCUCUCCUCAGUGGACUACUCUUGUCAAGACAAUCCCCAACCCGAUAUAUAGUAGAGCAGAGACAGAGAUUUGCCCAAGCAAGUGCUAGAAAGUACUCCCUCUGUAAGGAAAUAUAAAGGGGGUUGUAGAUCACUAAAGUAGUGAUCUAAAUGCUCUUAUAUUUCUUUACGAGGGGAGUAAAAAGGAUGUGGAGUGUGCUUUUGGUGUUCUUCAAUCUCGAUGGACCAUCGUUCGGUAUCCUGCUAAAACUCAAAGCACGAAGAAGUUGUGAGAGGUGAUGACUGCUUGUGUGAUCAUGCAUAACAUGAUCAUAAAGGAUGAGCGUGAGGAUGAAAUCUUCGAUCAGGGGUUCCAAUUUCAAGGUGAAAAUGUUGUGCCUGAGCAUGGAGGAGGGACAACGUUUGACAGUUCACUAAAUUUCACUCAUCAAAUGCGUGAUUGGCCAACUCACAUUCAACUACAAGAUGAUUUGAUUGAGUAUAUGUGGGCUCAACUUGCAACCAAAUAGAUGUAUUUGUGACAAAAAAAAUUGGUUUGUAAACUAGUAUGUGAUUUUUUUGUUGUAAUACUAUGAUAUGUGUACUUGGUUGAAUUAUGCGGAACUUUGGGCAAUGUUUUUGAUAUGUAUACAAGAAAAAGCAAAAACAUGGUCACAUACCGGCCACGCGGACGAAAAUGCAUCGGCGCGUUGGGCGCACUGGCCACUGACACCGCCAAAAAUGCUGACUCAAAUGGACAAAAACAGACAAAAUCCACAUAUGUUUGCGUUGGCGCGUUGAAGUUGCCUAAGCCUCAUUUGUAGUAUUUCCUUGGCCAGCACGUCUUCCACCAUUCUUUUAGUUACUUGUCCAGCAAGCCGUAUGGUCAAUAAGCAUGUCAAGAGGGAGUGUCAAAGCAAAAAGGUGACUAUUUUUUUUCCGAAAGGGGGAUUGUUCGUGGCCUCUGCAUUAAAAUGAUGUAUGCGAUCAUAUUAUUAACCAGAAUACCCAUUAAAUGCGAAGUACGAUACAAUAACUCAACAUGAGUUUAAAAGAAAAACACACUAACACAAUCGGCAAAAAUAGGACUAACUGAUCAUACUAGAGGAUAUUCCGCGUGUUGCUGUGGAAUUGGUUGAUUGCAGUGGCACACAUCAUAUCAGGCAAUCUAGCAAGCUUGACCAACAGUUUCAAAUAAGAAUUUAGAGGAUCUACCUAAUGACGGCAGUAGGUAGACUGUAGCGGCUUGCUGGAACCCACGUUACUAAAUUCAACAGAACGUGAUGGCAGCAGGCGGACAUAAAACAUGGAAAUUGAGAUCAGACCUGGGAGUUGGGAUAUAGAGAUGCAUAUGUGCAGCAUGCAAAUCGAACUCGAGAUGCAUAUGUGCAACAUUUUCAUGAUCACCACAUCUGUGUCAUGAGGAGUGAACAAAAAUAAAUUGAAGGAUUUGAAUCUCAAUGAAUGACAGGAACAAAUAAUUAACUUCGAAAUAAAACCAACGGACCACUCAUGAAAAUGCAUUUGCUAGAAACCUCGAGCAAGGAGACAUUAUAUUUUUACACUGAUUCGAUAGAUAUGAUCCAAUCAGCCAACAUUAGAACUACCAAGCCUCGGUUCUCGCCUGAAAUGAGUAGGUAGGUUGGUCCAUACGUGAUGCCCUUGGGCCUUGGCGCUGCCAUCAUCGUCCUAUAGGAACCUACAGGAUAGACUUGUGUCGCAUGAGCUCUUCGUUGUGUGCUCUUCUGGGUCGCUAGAUGGAAACCAUAUAUAGAAGCGAGUGUGUAUACUACUGUAAAAGGGAGUAACAGGACUUCGUAUUAUCAUCACAGAAUAAAAGAACUGAAAUAAAUCUAAACUCUCAACCUCUCGUUCUCUCUCUGCGACGCAACCCCAAUUUCUUGUGAUUCACAACUUCUUUUUUAGCUGUAUUCUUGGGGAAAUCAGAUGACGGGGUUGGGCACGUCUAGGCCGGCACCCUCCCGAACCAUGUGCUGCUCAUCUUGUCGACGAAUCUGAGGCCUUACCCGGCGGCCGGCGCCGCACCAGCGAGGCUGAAAAGAAAGCCGUGUCCAGAGUCCAAUCUCCAAAGAGGCCGAUCUGAUUCCCGUGGAACUGAACUAACAGAAAUAGUCGGUCGGUUGAGAUUUGACAGGAGGGGGUGAGAGAGACGAUAUAGGGAGAUGAGAAGACUUGGUCAGAAUUUUUUUUGGAGGAAAUCGAUGGAGAUUUAUUCCCGAGAUGAAGGAACCUAAUCGUCUGAGUAUUAAUGAAAGCAGUUUCCUUUUUUACAUCCCGUGUACUCCGCGGAGUAAAUAGCUAGCUAGAUAUAUUUUACGAUUUUAUAUUGAUGGCUUUCCGUGGAAACGGCUGCAUGCACGUAUUAAUUGUUGCUUGGGCAUCGCUGGCGAUGGACGUUGCAUGCAGAGUCUAGCGACAAACGUUUUCUUUUUGCUAAUUAUUAUAUUGCACCCCGGAAUCUACCGAAGAUCACGCUCACGGUAGCGCAUGUCACACCGACCGAAGACUUUGAUUGGCAGAGAACUGAUGACAUGGCAUGUUGAUGUGGACACCUUGCAUGUCAAGAGAAAUCAAGUAGUGGGGUGCUUCUAUUUAGAUAUAGUAGAUGAGUUAUAGAAUGGAAAGAAAUCCAUUAUGUUAUAUCUCAAAGUUUGAGGUAAUGAUAAUUAUGUAAAAUGUUUAGAACAAAUCUUGACCCUAAAAGCAGACAAGUGUUAUUUUGUAGGAUAUCCAAAAUAGCAAUGGGGUAUUCCUUCUACCUAAAGUCCGAUAACAAAAUGUUUGUCGGAACAAAUGCACACUUUCUCAGAAAGGAGUUUUCGUUAAAGAAUUAAGUGGGAUGACAUCACAGCUUGAUGAGAUUAUUGAAUCUCUGGCAAAAGUAAAAUGGAUUGACUGAUCAAAAUUUGUUUCAGAAAUCUAUAAUACAUAAAUAGUUGAUCCCCACUACUUCUAAUUCUUUCAACAUGCAAACCAUCCACCUCACCAAGUAUGCCACGUCAGCAUCCACUAACAAUAUUUUUUAGCCCCUGCAAAUCUUAUUUCAUUAUCACUAAUUCUCUCAAUAUGCAAGCAUCCCACUUCACCAUACACUAACAUUUUUUCCAGCCCACGCAAACCAUUACAAUAUGUUUAUUUUUGUCACUGGACAUAUAUAGUAGAUUAGAUAAUUAUUUAAUUUAUUUACUUCCUAAAGGUUGUGAAAUGUCAUGUUUUACACAGAAUGCAAGUAUGGAAUAUCUAUAUGUUAAAUUUAGAGCUUUUGAAAUAUAUGUCAUAUGUAACUAAUCUUUAUAUAUUCCCGCGGCAACGCACGGGGAAAUUUACUAGUUGUCCAUAUAGCUGAAUCAGAAAUUACUACAUCAUUGUGUAAAUUCUAGUUAAUGUUGCAACUGAACCACAUAGGACAGGAAGAGUUAGUGAACCUCCUGAAUAAUUUCAUAAUGAAAUAUUCAUCUUAGAGGAAGAUAAAAAACUGCGCACUACAGAGGAAGCGAUGACGGCGCCCAACUAAAAAACGGCUCAAAACUAUGAAAUCAUAAAUAGAGCCCAUAUACGAGCAUCAAGUUUUGAACUUGAUUAAACCUCUAAAGGGUGUGAUACCUACUCAAAUGUAAAUGAAUCUUCAAAAUAAAAUGGAUAUGGAUGGUGAUCUUAUCUUACAUUUUUAAGAAGUUGAUCCCCACUACUACCUAUUCUCUCAACAUGCAGCCCAUCCACAUCAUCAUCUAGCCACCUCAGCAAAUUUCACCCAUGUCACAUCAUAUCUUUGUUAUUUUUUCUUCUCCAUGUUCACGUAGCAUCGCUUGCUAGCAUAUCCCCCCGAAGGUUUUUUACCAGCGCAUUGCUUCCUUUGUUCUUCAGGCCACCAUCCACUAUGUACUUCCAUUUAAUUCGUAGAAGGUUCAUUUCCAAAGCUCAAUCUCUCUCUGUAAUAAAAGGAUAGUUUCUCGCUCGCUUAGGAAAAUGUUUAGUAUUCUGGUGAGAAUCACUCCUGUUCGCUGUUUUUUGUUUCAACCGUGAGGAGGCGCAACCGUUUGUAACCGAGGGGCACGACCUUCCUUGGGAACCCGUCGUUUCCCUUCCCCGCCAGGUGGCCACACAACUCGACGUCUACUUCAACCAGCCACAACUUGGUGUUCCUCUGCCGCUAGGGCUUUUUUUUGCGGGGUAAAAAGGGAUUUCAUUGCUUAGUCGAUUACAAGUUCGUUCCUACAAAGCAUAGGAACUUCUGCAGGUCCAGAGCGCAAUCAUACUCCAGUACGGCCCUCGACACGGCCAAAUGCAGCUAGGUAGUGACUAACAGCGUUCUGACUCCUACUUACAUGAGCAAUAGUUACAUCCCUUUCACCAAAGAAACUCUUAACAUCAUUGACUAUCAUCACAUGCGGCGAUCUAUCUAUAGAAGGUGAUUUGAUUAAUUUGACUGCCUCCAUGCAGUCCAUCUCAAUGUCCACCGGCAGGGUAGACCAUUGGAGAGCAAGGUUCAGACCCUCCUGGCAGGCAAGAAGCUCGGCUUGAAGUGCCCCAUAGCAGUGCAUGAUGGAACGACAUGCAGAGAAGAUGAUGUUACCCUCGCUAUCUCGGAGAAUCAUUCCCGCUCCCGCUUCUCCAGUGGCUUGAAUAUACGAACCAUCAACACUGAGCUUUACUCGGCCAACAGAGGAGGAUCCCAACACACUGUAGGAGGUGGCGGUGCUGGGGUAUGUGUUGUGGACGACUUGCACCCAACAUGCAACAGGACCAUCUUCCCUUUUAUCACGUCACCAACCGUAAAUUGUUGUAUGCAUUGGAGAGAUUCCUCAUAGAUGACGAGAAAGCGUAGAGAUGCUUCAACAGGGGGAGGCGGUUUAUUAUGGACAACCUCAUUCCGGACAUGCCAGCUUCUCCAUAGCACCAUGAGCACAUGCCUGCGUUCAUCAUCUUGUAGCUCGUGCAGCAGAUCAAAGAGCCACUCAGGUCCUGUGUUCCUCCUUGCCCUGAUGUCCGGAAGCUGCCAUCGCUCCGCCAUGGCCUGCCAUAGGGCCACAGCCCUUGGACACCUACAGAAAGUGUGGAACGUGUCCUCCGGUUCCGUCGCACACAACGGGCAAAGGUCAGAUGGCUCAAUAUUGCGUGUAUGCUUGUUCACCCAAGUAGCAAGAGAAUUCGAGGCCAAACGCCAUGAAAAUAUACGGACCUUUGGUGGAGUAGGGCACCUCCAUAUAAGUGCCCAGACGGCACGUCGCCCGUCCGGUGCCCUGCUCGCUGCGACUGUAGUCUGACGAUGGGAGUCGUCGUAGGCAAGGCAGUAAGCGCUCCGGACCGUAAUGCAGUAUGGUUGCGCUCUGCCGCUAGGGAUUUUUUUUGCAGGGUAAAAAGGGAUUUCAUUGCUUAGUCGAUUACAAGUUCGUUCCUACAAAGCAUAGGAACUUCUGCAGGUCCAGAGCGCAACCAUACUGCAGUACGGCCCUCGACACGGCCAAACGCUCCGGCGCCCAUGCGAUGAUGUCAUUGCCGAGGCGAGUCGAUGUCUUGAUCUUCAAAAUUUCCGAAACAUCAACGGGUAAAAAGUAUCGAUUGAGCAGCCGAACACUCCAGUUGCCGUGCUCGUCCAAGAGCUCACUAACCCGUCAUAGGCGGCACCGACCUUGAGGAGAGACCGGUGUUCUCGCGAGGGGGUGCGGAAUCCACUGAUCCCGCCAUAUGCGUACAGACGUGCCAUCCCCUAUGCGCCAGAUAAUGCCCUUCUUGAGCAGCUCAAUACCAUGGACGAUGGACUCCCAUGUCUGCGACGAGUUGCCCGAGAAGACCGUGUCCUCUAGUCGCCCUUCGGGAUAGUAUCGGGCCUUUAGUACCUGCGCACACAAACUCUCGGGAUUAGCAAUAAGACGCCAUGCCUGUCGUGCCAGCAGUGCCUGGUUGAAGAUUCUGAAGUCGCGAAAUCCCAUGCCACGAUGGGUUUUAGGUUUGAUCAGAGUAUCCCACGCAUGCCAAUGUGUCUUCCUCUUCCCCUCCUUGGCUCCCCACCAAAAGUUCCGGACCAUACGUGUGAGAUCAUCGCAUACACUCCGUGGUAGGCGGAAGACUCCCAUUAGAUAAGUUGGGAGGGACUGUGCGACAGCCUUGAUGAGGAUUUCUCGGCCCCCCUGCGACACCGCUUCCCCCCAUUGUAGGAUACGUUUAGUGAGUUGCUCUUGCAGGUUGUGGAACUUGCCCUUUGACAUUCUCCCCGAAGGCGUCGGGAGACCGAGAUAUUUCUCUUCAAAUCCCACGUUCUGGACGUGGAGCGCCUGCAUGACUUCCUGCUGAUCAGUGUCCCUGCACUUAGGUCCAAAAAGAAUAGAGCACUUCGCCGGGUUGAUGAAUUGUCCCGUGGUGCGUUCAUAGGUUGCAAGUGCAUCCCUCACCUGCAAUGCUUCCUCCCGUGUAGCACGGAAAAAUAGGAUAGUGUCAUCUGCAAAUAGAAGAUGAGAUAUACCAGGGGCUCGCAGACACACGUGCAAGGGCGAGAUCAUCCGGUUAGCAACCUUCUGUUUAAAAAUAGCAUCAAGACCAUCCGCCACAAAGCAAAAACAGGAACGGAGAUAAAGGGUCUCCCUGCCGUAGCCCGCGCGACGGUGCAAACGAAUCCGAGUGGGCUCCAUUUAAUUUAACAUUGUAACUCACCGUGGUAACACACGCCAUGAUCCACUGUACCCACCGGUGAUGAAAGCCCAACUUUGCAUCAUUCGCUUCAGGAAUUGCCAAUCCACCCUGUCGUAUGCCUUGGGUAGGUCCAACUUAUAUGCACAAAAACUUUUAUCCUGGUUUGUUUCAUGUUUAAUGGUAUGAAGGCACUCGAACGCAAUAAAAGCAUUAUCUGUUAUGAGUCUACCUGGAACAAAAGCACUCUGCUCAGGAGAAAUUAUACCAUCCAGGAGGGGUCUCAAGCGGUUAACCAAGCACUUGGAGAUGACCUUGUAUAUAACAUUACAUAGGCUGAUCGUUCGGAACUCAGUGAGGCGUUUGGGAUCAUCAACCUUCGGUAUCAGCACAAUCGUCGUGGUAUUCACCUCAUCAGCUGGCAUACACCCGGUCUCAAAAAAAUAACCGAACAGCCCCCAUCACCUCCUCCUUCAUUACCGCCCAAUUACGCUGAAAGAACCUGGCCGAGAAUCCAUCUGGACCUGGGGCUUUUAGAAGGCCUAUUUGAAAAAGUGCAUCUCCAAUUUCUUUAUCAGUAAAAGGAGCACAUAAUUUAAGGUUCAUAUCAUCUGUUACCUUAGGCUGGAAGAGCCUCACUACCUCUUGUGGAUCAAUGUGUGGGUCUGCCGUGAAUAAAUGCAUGAAAUAGGAGCGAGCCAUAUCCAACAUGUACUUCUGAUUUGUGUGCCACACAUCAUUAUUAUCCAUCAAGCCCUUCACCACAUUCUUCCUAGCACGCCACACUGCUUUUCCAUGAUUUUUUUUCUAUUUCUGUCUCCCUCCUUGAGCCAAGCUAUGCGCGAGCGUUGAAGCCACAUCAUCUCCUCCCUGAAUAAAAGUUCAUUCAUUUCGUCCAUUUGUUUCCUGAUUUCUGCCCUAUCCGCAUUCAUAUGCAUGAGCUCCUCAAGCCUGGACCUCGACUUCUCUAGCUGUCGUGUGACGUUGCCAAACUUUUUAUUACUCCAGGCAUGGAGUUUGCCCAUAACUUGGCUGAGAGCCUUUUGCACGUCGCCCAAAUUCUGCUUGACACCAUCCUCGCCCCAAGCCGCAGCAAUAACUUCCCCAAGAGCCUAAUCCCUUUCCCACAUCAACUCAUACCUGCGACAUCGAGCUGGGCAGGGCGCCGUGUCCGGUGUACAGCAAACCAACACCGGGCAAUGGUCUGAUGCAGGAGACACAAGGUGAUGCACAACCACCUCAGCAAAAAGAUCCCUCCAAGAAUUUGUUGCAACUGCACGGUCCAACCUCACCUGAACAUUUGCCCUUCCUCCUCUUCUGUUGUCUAAAGUAAAGGGGUAACCCCGAAAACCCAAGUCAACCAGGCCGCAAGUCUCAAGUGCAUCUGAAUAUUAGCAUUUGUCCCGACGCCCACGGAGUUUCAGACAUGUGUUCGUACUCCCACAUAGCUUCAUUAAAAUCACCUACUAACAUCCAUGGCAGCGUACUUUGGGCAAGAAGCCUUCUAAUUGAGUCCCACAUCAAAUGCAUGGUCUCGAUGCGUGGCUCAUCAUACACAAAAGUAAUGCGCCACAAUGGAUCAUUUGGGGACAACCACACAUGAGCAUCAACCCAUCUCUUAUUUGCUUCUUUGACAUCCACUAUUACAGACUCAUGCCAAAACAAAGCGAGCCCACCGCUACGACCAUCACUACUGACUCCUUCAAAUCCGGCCAAACCUAAACGAGAGCGCAGCCGAUACAUCUUUUCCUUUGUUUGUCUAGUUUCACACAAGAACACCAAUUUUGGGGAGUGAGCACCCACAAGUGCUACAAGAUCACGAACUGUGCGAAGGUUCCCCGCCCCUCGACAGUUCCAACUUAAGCAAUUCAUUGCUCCUGACGGGGCGCCACACUUGGCUCCGUCAGUUUACCAGCGGCCCCUGGGUCGGUUGCCUCCUUGUCCGCCGAACACUCCACAGUACUGAUCACCUCCUUCAUUGGCUCCUCCAUAUGCAGUACAGGAUGCACUUGGGCAGCACGUCCCUUGUACAGGAUGCAGGGUUACCAGGUCCAAAAAACAAAAAAACGUUCCAAAUGAGAGGUCUCAUUUGGAACUGCAGAAGGGUAGGCAAGAAAGGAAUGGCCACCUGACUCUCUGAUUUAAUUAGUGACCAUUCCCUUGAUUUCCUGGGUCUUCAGGAAACCAUGAAGAAAAACUUCUCCCCUAAAUGCUUGAGAAAAAUUGACCCUCUUAGUAUCUUUGAGUGGGUCUGGAUCCCCUCAUGUGGCAAAUCAGGUGGUAUCAUUGCGGGGGCUAGAAAAGACAUUUUGGACUUGAGUUCUAACAAGAAAGGCAAGUUCAUGCUCCAGCUUGAUCUUAUAGAUAGGAAAAAUAAAACUGAAUGGAGUAUUCUAAUGGUAUAUGGCCCAGCUCAUGAAGAGAGGAGGGAGGAGUUCCUGCUGGAACUUGCUCAAUUCUGUUCUGAUAUGAACAAACCCUACAUAGUUGGGGGAGACUUUAACAUCUUGAGGCAUGGUGGAGAAAAGAAUAAAAAAGCACAUGGUCAUAAAUCUAUGGACAUGUUCAACUCUAUAAUUAAUGCAUAUGGACCGAGGGAAAUUUAUUGUAGUGGAGGGAAAUAUACUUGGACAAAUAACCAGACCCACCCCACUUUGGAAAAGCUAGACAGGAUUUUGAUGUCUAGUGACUGGGAAAAUCUAUACCCUUUGGGUAACUGUUAGAAAGCUGGUUAGAGAGUUAUCUGACCAUAACCCCCUACUCCUUUCCUCAGGAGAAAUGGGCAGGGAGGCUCAUAAACCCAGGGAAUUCGGGUUUGAUUUGGCCUGGUUAAAAAAUGAGGACUUUCUACCCUUAGUGGAGAAAAUCUGGAGUAGAGCGGUUAAAGCUGAAGAUCCUAUUGAUAUUCUUAAUAUCAAACUAAAAAGGUUUAAAACCUUCUUCAAAGGGUGGGGGUCCAAUAAGUACGGAUAUUCCAAGAAAAGAAAAGAAGAAUUAAGGGUAGAAUUGUCCACUCUUGAGGAGCUUGAAGAGGAGGGACCUCUGACCCCUGAGAUGUAUAGUAGAAAGGUGGAUAUUAAUUUUGAACUUCAUGAGAUUCUGGUGAAUGAGGAGAUUUUCUGGCUGCAACAAUCCCAUGAGCGUUGGCUGCUCAAAGGGGAUUUGAACACUGAUUACUUUCAUAAAAUUGCAAACGGGCGAAAAAGGAAGAAUACUAUUCAUUCCCUCAAGUGUGGUGAUGUUGAGAUAGAAGGUACUGAUAACCUUAUCUCACAUGCCACAGAAUUCUAUAAAACCCUUUUCGGCCCAGCCCCAGGCAACUUGUUUCACAUGGACCCUGGCUCGUGGGAUGAGUCUGAAAAACUCACCCACGAGGAUAACGCUGUGUUGGAAAUAUGCUCUAGAGGCAAUAACAAAUUAGUUAUUAUUAUAUUUCCUUGUUCAUGAUAAUUGUUUAUUAUCCAUGCUAUAAUUGUAUUGAUAGGAAACCCAGAUACAUGUGUGGAUACAUAGACAACACCAUGUCCCUAGUAAGCCUCUAGUUGACUAGCUCGUUGAUCAAUAGAUGGUUACGGUUUCCUGACCAUGGACAUUGGAUGUCGUUGAUAACGGGAUCACAUCAUUAGGAGAAUCAUAUGAUGGACAAGACCCAAUCCUAAGCCUAGCACAAAGAUCGUGUAGUUCGUAUGCUAAAGCUUUUCUAAUGUCAAGUAUCAUUUCCUUAGACCAUGAGAUUGUGCAACUCCCGGAUACCGUAGGAAUGCUUUGGGUGUGCCAAACGUCACAACGUAACUGGGUGGCUAUAAAGGUACACUACGGGUAUCUCCGAAAGUGUCUGUUGGGUUGGCACGAAUCGAGACUGGGAUUUGUCACUCCGUGUGACGGAGAGGUAUCUCUAGGCCCACUCGGUAGACAUCAUCAUAUGCGCAAUGUGACCAAGGAGUUGAUCACGGGAUGAUGUGUUACGGAACGAGUAAAGAGACUUGCCGGUAACGAGAUUGAACAAGGUAUCGGAUACCGACGAUCGAAUCUCGGGCAAGUACAAUACCGCUAGACAAAGGGAAUUGAAUACGGGAUUGAUUAAAUCCUCGACAUCGUGGUUCAUCCGAUGAGAUCAUCGUGGAACAUGUGGGAGCCAACAUGGGUAUCCAGAUCCCGCUGUUGGUUAUUGGCCGGAGAGUUUUCUCGGUCAUGUCUGCAUGGUUCCCGAACCCGUAGGGUCUACACACUUAAGGUUCGGUGACGGUAGAGUUGUUAUGGGAAAUAGUAUGUGGUUACCGAAGGUUGUUCGGAGUCCCGGAUGAGAUCCCGGACAUGAUGAGGAGCUCCGGAAUGGUCCGGAGGUGAAGAUCGGUAUAUCGGACGAAGGGUAUUGGAGUCCGGAAUUGUUCCGGGUGUACCAGGUGAUGACCAGCGUGUCCGAAAGGGGUUUCGGAGGACCCGGCAAGCGUUGGGGGGCCUUAUGGGCCAAGGGGAGAGGGCACAUCAGCCCACUAAGGGGCUGAGCGCCCCUCCCACCCCAUCUCACGUAACCAGGAGAGGUGGGGGUGCCACCCCUAGGGCAGCCGCCCCUCCCAGCUUGGGGGGCAAGUUUCCUUAGGGGUGGGGGCGCCCAAACCCAUCUAGGGUUUCCCCUGUGGCCGCCGCCCCUCCCCUAGGGAACCCUAGGGCGCCUCCCCCUCCUCCCUUCCCCCUAUAUAUUGUGAGGGAGAGAGAGGGCAGCCACACCCUUCCCCUAGCGCAGUCCUCUCCCUCCUCCAACACCUCGUCCUCCUCCGUAGUGCUUGACGAAGCCCUGCCAGAGAACCACGAGCUCCAUCACCACCAUGCCGUCGUGCUGUCGGAGUUUUCCCUCAACUUCUCCUCUCCCCUUGCUGGAUCAAGAAGGAGGAGACGUCCCCGGGCUGUAUGUGUGUUGAACGCGGAGGUGCUAUCCGUUCGGCACUAGGAUCAUUGGUGAUUUGGAUCACGACGAGUACGACUCCAUCAACCCCGUUCACUUGAACGCUUCCGCUUAGCGAUCUACAAGGGUAUGCAGAUGCACUCUCCUUCCCUCGUUGCUAGAUUACUCCAUAGAUUGAUCUUGGUGAUGCGUAGAAAAUUUUGAAUUUCUGCUACGAUCCCCAACAGUGGCAUCAUGAGCUAGGUCUAUGCGUAGUUUCUAUGCACGAAUAGAACACAAAGUAGUUGUGGGCGUCGAUUUUGUCAAUUUACUUGCCGUUCCUAGUCUUAUCUUGAUUCGGCGGCAUUGUGGGAUGAAGCGGCCCGGACCAACCUUACACGUAUGCUUACGUGAGACCGGUUCCACCGACUGACAUGCACUAGUUGCAUAAGGUGGCUGGCGGGUGUCUGUCUCUCCCACUUUAGUCGGAUCGGAUUCGAUGAACAUGGUCCUUAUGAAGGGUAAAUAGAAAUUGGCAAUUCACGUUGUGGUUUUGGCGUAGGUAAGAAACGUUCUUGCUAGCAACCUAUAGCAGCCACGUAAAAACUUGCAACAACAAUUAGAGGACGUCUAACUUGUUUUUGCAGCAAGUUUUUUGUGAUGUGAUGUGGCCAAAGGAUGUGAUGUAUGAGAUCAUCAUGUUCUUGUAAUAGGAAUCACGACUUGCAUGUCGAUGAAUAUGAUAACCGGCCGGAGCUAUAGGAGUUGUCUUAAUUUAUUUAUGACCUGCGUGUCAACAUAAACGUCAUGUAAUUACUUUACUUUAUUGCUAACCGUUAGCUGUAGUAGUAGAAGUACUAGUUGGCGAGACAACUUCAUGAAGACACAAUGAUGGAGAUCAUGGUGUCAUGCCGGUGACGAUGAUGAUCAUGGAGCCCCGAAGAUGGAGAUCAAAAGGAGCAAAGUGAUGAUGGCCAUAUCAUGUCACUAUUUGAUUGCAUGUGACGUUUAUCAUGUUUUUACAUCUUAUUUGCUUAGAACGACGGUAGCUUAAAUAAGAUGAUCCCUCACUAAAAUUUCAAGAAAAGUGUUCUCCCUAACUGUGCACCAUUGCGAAGGUUCGUCGUUUCGAAGCACCACGUGAUGAUCGAGUGUGAUAGAUUCUUACGUUCGAAUACAACGGGUGUUGACGAGCCUAGCAUGUACAGACAUGCCUCGGAACACAUGCGAAACACUUAGGUUAACUUGACGAGCCUAGCAUGUACAGACAUGGCCUCGGAACACGGAGGACCGAAAGGUCGAACAUGAGUCGUAUAGAAGAUGUGAUCAACAUGAGAUGUUCACCGAUGAUGACUAGUCCGUCUCACGUGAUGACCAGACACGGCCUAGUCGAUUCGGAUCAUGUAUCACUUAGAUGACUAGAGGGAUGUCUAUCUGAGUGGGAGUUCAUGAAAUAAUCAGAUGAACUCAAUUAUCAUGAACAUAGUCAAAAGGACUUUGCAAAUUAUGUCGUAGCUCGCGCUUUAGUUCUACUGUUUUAGAUAUGUUCCUAGAGAAAAUUUAGUUGAAAGUUGAUAGUAGCAAUUAUGCGGACUGGAUCCGUAAACAGAGUAUUGUCCUCAUUGCUGCGCAGAAGGAUUAUGUCCUUAAUGCACCGCUCAGUGAGCUGACCCUCGAAUGUCGGUUGUGGAUGUUGCGAACAUCUGACAUACACGUUUUGAUGGCUACAUGAUAGUUCAGUGCGUAAUGCUAAAUGGUUUAGAAUUGAGGCACCAAAGACGUUUUUGAAACAUCGCAGAACAUAUGAGAUGUUCCAAGGACUGAAAUUGGGAUUUCAGGCUAGUGCCCACGUCAAGAGGUAUGAGACCUUUGACAAGUUUCCUAAGCCUGCAAACUAAGGAGAAAAGCUCAAUCAUUGAGCAUGUGCUCAGAUUGUAUGAGUGCUACUAUCGCUUGAAUCGAGUGGGAGUUAAUCUUCCAGAUGAGAUAGUGAUGGUUCUCCAAAGUCACUGUCACCAAGCUACUGGAGCUUCGUGAUGAACUAUAACAUAACAGGGAUAGAUAUGAUCCUUGAGCUAUUCGCGACACCGCAAAAGUAGAAAUCAAAAGGGAGCAUCAAUUGUUGAUGGUUAGUAAAACCACUAGUUUCAAGAAAGGCAAGGGCAAGAAAGGGAUACUUCAUGAAACAACAAAUCAGUUGCUGCUCUAGUGAAGAAACCCAAAGUUGAACCCAAGCCCGAGACUAAGUGCUUCUGUAAUAAGGGGAACGGUCACUGAAGCAGAACCACCCUAGAUACUUGGUAGAUGAGAAGGCUGACAAGGUUGACAGAAGUAUGUAUUGGACAUAUAUUAAAUGUGUACUUUACUAGUACUCCUAGUAGCAGCAGGGUAUUAGAUACCGGUUCGGUUGCUAAGUGUUAGUAACUCGAAAUAAAAGGCUACAGAAUAAACGGAGACUAGCCAAAGGUGAGACGACGAUAGGUGUUGGAAGAGUUUCCAAGGUUGAUGUGAUCAAACAUCGCACGCUUCGUCUACCAUCGGGGUUGGUGUUAAACCUAAAUAAUUGUUAUUUGGUGUUUGCGUUGAGCAUGGACAUGAUUAGAUUAUGUUCAUCGCAAUGCGGUUAUUCAUUUAAGGAGAAUGGUGGUUACUCUGUUUAUUUGAAUAAUACCUUCAAUGGUCUUACACCUAAAAUGAAUGGUUUAUUGAAUCCCGAUCGUAGUGAUACACAUGUUCAUGCCAAAAGAUAUAAGAUAGUAAUGAUAGUACCACAUACUUGUAGCACUGCAAUUUUAGUCACAAUGGUAUAAAACGCAUGAAGAAGCUCCAUGAUGAUGGAUCUUUGGACUCGCUUGAUUUUGAAUCACUUGAGACAUGCAAAUCAUAUCACAUGAGCAAGAUGACUGAAAGGCCUCGUUUUCCGUAAGAUGGAACAAGAAAGAAACUUGUUGGAAGUAAUACAUCUUGAUGUGUGCAGUCCAAUGAGUGCUGAGGCAUGUAGUGGAUAUUGUUAUAUUCUUACUUCACAGAUGAUUUGAGUAGAUGCUGAGUAUAUUUACUUGAUGAAUCACGAGUCUGAAUUAUUGAAAGGUUCAAGUAAUUUCAGGGUGAAGUUGAAGAUCGUCGUGGCAAGAGGAUAAAAUAUCUAUGAUAUGAUCAUAGAGAUGAAUAUCUGAAUUACGAGUUUGGCACAGAAUUAAGACAUUGUGGAAAUUGUUUCACAACUAAUACAGCCUGGAACACCAUAGUGUGAUGGUGUGUCCGAACAUCAUAACUGCACCCUAUUGGAUAUGAUGCAUACCAUGAUGUCUCUUAUCGAAUUACCACGAUAGUUUAUGGGUUAGGCAUUAGAGACAACCACAUUCACUUUAAAUAGGGCACCACAUAAUUCCGAUGAGAUGACACCGUAUGAACUAUGGUUUAGAGAAACCUAAGCUGUCAUUUCUUAAAAGUUUGGGGCUGCGACGCUUAUGUGAAAAAGUUCCAGGCUGAUAAGCUCAAACCCAAAGCGGAUAAAUACAUCUUCAUAGGACACCCAAAACAGUUGGGUAUACCUCCUGUCUCAGAUCCGAAAGCAAUAGGGAUUGUUUCUCGAAUCGGGUCCUUUCUCGAGGAAAAGUUUCUCUCGAAAGAAUUGAGUGGGAGGAAGAUAGAACUUGAUAAGGUUGUUGAACCUUUACUUCAACCAGAGAGUAGCGCAGCACAGGAAAAAUGUUUCUGUGGCACCUGCCUCAGUUGAAGAGAAAGCUAAUGAUGAUGAUCAUGGAGCUUCAGAUCAAGUUACUAUCGAACCUCAUGGGUUGACAAGGGUGUGUACAACUUCUAAGUGGUAACCCUAUCUUAAAGGUCACGUUGUUGGACAACAAUGAACCUAUGAGCUAUGGAGAAGCGAUGGUGGGCCCGGAUUCUAAAAAUUGGCUCGAGGCCAUAAAGUCCAAGAGAGGAUCCAUGUAUGAAAACAAAGUGUAGACUUUGGAAGAACUACUUGAUGGUUGUAAGGCUGUUAGGUACAUGUGGAUUUUAAGAAGAAGACGGACGUGUACGGUAAUGUCAUCGUCUAUGAAGCUCGACUUGUGGCGAAGAUUUUUUCACAAGUUCAAGCAGUUGACUACAAUGAGAUUUUCUCACCCGUAGCGAUGCUUAAGUCCAUCGAAAUCAUGUUAGCAUAAGCUGCAUUUAUGAAAUCUGGCAGAUGGAUGUCAAAACAAGUUUCCUUACCAGUUUUCGUAAGGAAAGGUUGUAUGUGAUACAAUCAGAAAGGUUUUGUCGAUCCUAAGGAUGCUAAAAGGUAUGCAAGCUCCAGCGAUCCUUCCAUGGACUAGAGCUAGCAUCUCGGAGUCGGAAUAUACACUUUGAUAGAGUAAUCAAAGUUUAUGGGUUUAUACAAAGUUUGUUAGAAACUUGUAUUUACAAUAAAGUGAGUGGGAGCACUACAACAUUUCUGAUAAGUAUAUGUGGAUGACAUAGUGUUGAUCCGAAAUGAUGAAGAACUUCUGGAAAGCAUAUAGGGUUAUUUGAAAAGUGUUUUUUCAAUGGAAAACCUUGAUUAAGCUACUUGAACAUUGAGCAUCAAGAUCUAUAAGGAUAGAUCAAAAAUGUUUAAUUGUACUUUCAAAUGAGCACAUACCUUGACAUGAUCUUGAAGGUGUUCAAGAUGGAUCAGCCAAAGAAGGAGUUCUUGCCUGAGUCGUAAGGUAUGAAGUUAAGACUUAAAGCUCGACCACGGCAGGAGAAAUAGGAAGGACGAAGGUCGUCCCCUAUGCUUUUGUCAUAGGCUCUAUAUGGUAUGCCAUGCUGAGUACCGCACCUGAUGUGUGCCUUGCCACAUGCCUGGCAAGAGGGUACAAAGGUGAUCUAGGAGUAGAUCACCAGAUAGCGGUCAAAAUUAUCCUUAGAGGAAUAAGGAUAUGUUUCUCGAUUAUGGAGGUGAUAAAGAGUUUGACAUAAAGAGUUACGUCGAUGCAAGCUUAACACCUAUCCGGAUAGCUCUGAGUAGAGAUAUCGGAUACGUAUAAUGGAGCAACAAUUUAGAAUAGCUCCAAGUAGAACAGUUAUUUGAAAUGGCUCCAAAUAUAGCGUAGAGAUUUGCAAAGUACAUACGGAUCUGAAUGUUGCAGACCCGUUGACUAAAACCUCUCUCACAAGCAACAUGAUCAAACCCAGAACUCAUUGAGUGUUAAUCACAUAGUGAUGUGAACUAGAUUAUUGACUCUAGAAAACUCUUUGGAUGUUGGUCACAUGGCGAUGUGACCUGUGAGUGUUAAUCUCAUGGUGAUGUGAACUAGAUUAUUGACUCUAGUGCAAGUGGGAGACUGUUGGAAAUAUGCUCUAGAGGCAAUAACAAAUUAGUUAUUAUUAUAUUUCCUUGUUCAUGAUAAUCGUUUAUUAUCCAUGCUAUAAUUGUAUUGAUAGGAAACUCAGAUACAUGUGUGGAUACAUAGACAACACCAUGUCCCUAGUAAGCCUCUAGUUGACUAGCUCGUUGAUCAAUAGAUGGUUACGGUUUCCUGACCAUGGACAUUGGAUGUCAUUGAUAACGGGAUCACAUCAUUAGGAGAAUCAUGUGAUGGACAAGACCCAAUCCUAAGCCUAGAACAAAGAUCGUGUAGUUCGUAUGCUAAAGCUUUUCUAAUGUCAAGUAUCAUUUCCUUAGACCAUGAGAUUGUGCAACUCCCGGAUACCGUAGGAAUGCUUUGGGUGUGCCAAACAUCACAACGUAACUGGGUGGCUAUAAAGAUACACUACGGGUAUCUCCGAAAGUGUCUGUUGGGUUGGCACGAAUCGAGACUGGGAUUUGUCACUCCGUGUGAAGGAGAGGUAUCUCUGGGCCCACUCGGUAGGACAUCAUCAUAUGCACAAUGUGACCAAGGAGUUGAUCACGAGAUGAUGUGUUACGGAACGAGUAAAGAGACUUGUCGGUAACAAGAUUGAACAAGGUAUCGGAUACUGACGAUCGAAUCUCGGGCAAGUACAAUACCGCUAGACAAAGGGAAUUGAAUACGGGAUUGAUUAAAUCCUCGACAUCGUGGUUCAUCCGAUGAGAUCAUCGUGGAACAUGUGGGGAGCCAACAUGGGUAUCCAGAUCCCGCUGUUGGUUAUUGGCCGGAGAGUUGUCUCGGUCAUAUCUGCAUGGUUCCCGAACCCGUAGGGUCUACACACUUAAGGUUCGGUGACGGUAGAGUUGUUAUGGGAAAUAGUAUGUGGUUACCGAAGGUUGUUCGGAGUCCCGGAUGAGAUCGCGGACAUGAUGAGGAGCUCCAGAAUGGUCCGAAGGUGAAGAUCGGUAUAUUGGACGAACGGUAUUGGAGUCCGGAAUUGUUCCGGGGGUACCAGGUGAUGACCAGCGUGUCCGAAAGGGGUUUCGGAGGACCCGGCAAGCGUUGGGGGGCCUUAUGGGCCAAGGGGAGAGGGCACAUCAGCCCACUAAGGGGUUGAGCGCCCCUCCCACCACAUCUCACGUAACCAGGAGAGGUGGGGGUGCCACCCCUAGGGCAGCCGCCCCUCCCAGCUUGGGGGGCAAGUUUCCUAAGGGGUGGCGGCGCCCAAACCCAUCUAGGGUUUCCCCUGUGGCCGCCGCCCCUCCCCUAGGGAACCCUAGGGCGCCUCCCCCUCCUCCCUUCCCCCUAUAUAUUGUGAGGCAGAGAGAGGGCAGCCGCACCCUUCCCCUAGCACAGCCCUCUCCCUCCUCCAACACCUCGUCCUCCUCCGUAGUGCUUGACGAAGCCCUGCCAGAGAACCACGAGCUCCAUCACCACCAUGUCGUCGUGCUGUCGGAGUUUUCCCUCAACUUCUCCUCUCCCCUUGCUGGAUCAAGAAGGAGGAGACAUCCCCGGGCUGUACGUGUGUUGAACGCGGAGGUGCCGUCCGUUCGGCACUAGGAUCAUCGGUGAUUUGGAUCACGACGAGUACGACUCCAUGAACCCCGUUCACUUGAACGCUUCUGCUUAGCGAUCUACAAGGGUAUGUAGAUGCACUCUCCUUCCCUCGUUGCUAGAUUACUCCAUAGAUUGAUCUUGGUGAUGCAUAGAAAAUUUUGAAUUUCUGCUACGAUCCCCAACAGUGGCAUCAUGAGCUAGGUCUAUGCGUAGUUUCUAUGCACGAAUAGAACACAAAGUAGUUGUGGGCAUCGAUUUUGUCAAUUUACUUGUCGUUACUAGUCUUAUCUUGAUUCGGCGGCAUUGUGGGAUGAAGCGGCCCGGACCAACCUUACACGUACGCUUACGUGAGACCGGUUCCAUCGACUGACAUGCAUUAGUUGCAUAAGGUGGCUGGCGGGUGUCUGUCUGUCCCACUUUAGUCGGAUCGGAUUCGAUGAACAUGGUCCUUAUGAAGGGUAAAUAGAAAUUGGCAAUUCACGUUGUGGUUUUGGCGUAGGUAAGAAACGUUCUUGCUAGCAACCUAUAGCAGCCACGUAAAAACUUGCAACAACAAUUAGAGGACGUCUAACUUGUUUUUGCAGCAAGUGUUUUGUGAUGUGAUGUGGCCAAAGGAUGUGAUGAAUGAUAUAUGUGAUGUAUGAGAUGAUCAUGUUCUUGUAAUAGGAAUCAUGACUUGCAUGUCGAUGAAUAUGAUAACCGGCGGGAGCCAUAGGAGUUGUCUUAAUUUAUUUAUGACCCGCGUGUCAACAUAAACGUCAUGUAAUUACUUUACUUUAUUGCUAACCGUUAGCUGUAGUAGUAGAAGUAAUAGUUGGCGAGACAACUUCAUGAAGACACAAUGAUGGAGAUCAUGGUGUCAUGCCGGUGACGAUGAUGAUCAUGGAGCCCCGAAGAUGGAGAUCAAAAGGAGCAAAGUGAUGAUGGCCAUAUCAUGUCACUAUUUGAUUGCAUGUGACGUUUAUCAUGUUUUUACAUCCUAUUUGCUUAGAACGACGGUAGCUUAAAUAAGAUGAUCCCUCACUAAAAUUUCAAGAAAAGUGUUCUCCCUGACUGUGCACCGUUGCGAAGGUUCGUCGUUUCGAAGCACCACGUGAUGAUCGGGUGUGAUAGAUUCUUAUGUUCGAAUACAACGGGUGUUGAUGAGCCUAGCAUGUACAGACAUGGCCUCGGAACACAUGCGAAACACUUAGGUUAACUUGACGAGCCUAGCAUGUACAGACAUGGCCUCGGAACACGGAGGACCGAAAGGUCGAACAUGAGUCGUAUAGAAGAUGCGAUCAACAUGAGAUGUUCACCGAUGAUGACUAGCCCGUCUCACGUGAUGAUCGGACACGGCCUAGUCGAUUUGGAUCAUGUAUCACUUAGAUGACUAGAGGGAUGUCUAUCUGAGUGGGAGUUCAUGAAAUAAUCAGAUGAACUCAAUUAUCAUGAACAUAGUCAAAAGGACUUUGCAAAUUAUGUCGUAGCUCGCGCUUUAGUUCUACUGUUUUAGAUAUGUUCCUAGAGAAAAUUUAGUUGAAAGUUGAUAGUAGCAAUUAUGCGGACUGGAUCCGUAAACAGAGUAUUGUCCUCAUUGCUGCGCAAAAGGAUUAUGUCCUUAAUGCACCGCUCAGUGAGCUGACCCUCGAAUGUCGGUUGUGGAUGUUGCGAACAUCUGACAUACACGUUUUGAUGACUACAUGAUAGUUCAGUGCGUAAUGCUAAAUGGUUUAGAAUUGAGGCACCAAAGACGUUUUUGAAACAUCGCAGAACAUAUGAGAUGUUCCAAGGACAGAAAUUGGGAUUUCAGGCUAGUGCCCACGUCAAGAGGUAUGAGACCUUUGACAAGUUUCCUAAGCCUGCAAACUAAGGAGACAAGCUCAAUCAUUGAGCAUGUGCUCAGAUUGUAUGAGUGCUACUAUCGCUUGAAUCGAGUGGGAGUUAAUCUUCCAGAUGAGAUAGUGAUGGUUCUCCAAAGUCACUAUCACCAAGCUACUGGAGCUUCGUGAUGAACUAUAACAUAACAGGGAUAGAUAUGAUCCUUGAGCUAUUCGCGACACCGCGAAAGUAGAAAUCAAAAGGGAGCAUCAAUUGUUGAUGGUUAGUAAACCACUAGUUUCAAGAAAGGCAAGGGCAAGAAAGGGAUACUUCAUGAAACAACAAAUCAGUUGCCGCUCUAGUGAAGAAACCCAAAGUUGAACCCAAGCCCGAGACUAAGUGCUUCUGUAAUAAGGGGAACGGUCAAUGAAGCAGAACCACCCUAGAUACUUGGUAGAUGAGAAGGCUGACAAGGUUGACAGAAGUAUGUAUUGGACAUAUAUUAAAUGUGUACUUUACUAGUACUCCUAGUAGCAGCAGGGUAUUAGAUACCGGUUCGGUUGCUAAGUGUUAGUAACUCGAAAUAAAAGGCUACAGAAUAAACAGAGACUAGCCAAAGGUGAGACGACGAUAGGUGUUGGAAGAGUUUCCAAGGUUGAUGUGAUCAAACAUCGCACGCUCCGUCUACCAUCGGGGUUGGUGUUAAACCUAAAUAAUUGUUAUUUGGUGUUUGCGUUGAGCAUGGACAUGAUUAGAUUAUGUUCAUCGCAAUGCGGUUAUUCAUUUAAGGAGAAUAAUGUUUACUCUGUUUAUUUGAAUAAUACCUUCAAUGGUCUUACACCUAAAAUGAAUGGUUUAUUGAAUCCCGAUCGUAGUGAUACACAUGUUCAUGACAAAAGAUAUAAGAUAGUAAUGAUAGUACCACAUACUUGUGGCACUGCAAUUUUAGUCACAAUGGUAUAAAACGCAUGAAGAAGCUCCAUGAUGAUGGAUCUUUAGACUCGCUUGAUUUUGAAUCACUUGAGACAUGCAAAUCAUAUCACAUGAGCAAGAUGACUGAAAGGCCUCGUUUUCCGUAAGAUGGAACAAGAAAGAAACUUGUUGGAAGUAAUACAUCUUGAUGUGUGCAGUCCAAUGAGUGCUGAGGCAUGUAGUGGAUAUCGUUAUAUUCUUACUUCACAGAUGAUUUGAGUAGAUGCUGAGUAUAUUUACUUGAUGAAUCACGAGUCUGAAUUAUUGAAAGGUUCAAGUAAUUUCAGGGUGAAGUUGAAGAUCGUCGUGGCAAGAGGAUAAAAUAUCUAUGAUAUGAUCAUAGAGAUGAAUAUCUGAAUUACGAGUUUGGCACAGAAUUAAGACAUUGUGGAAAUUGUUUCACAACUAAUACAGCCUGGAACACCAUAGUGUGAUGGUGUGUCCGAACAUCAUAACUGCACCCUAUUGGAUAUGAUGCAUACCAUGAUGUCUCUUAUCGAAUUACCACGAUAGUUUAUGGGUUAGGCAUUAGAGACAACCACAUUCACUUUAAAUAGGGCACCACUUAAUUCCGAUGAGAUUACACCGUAUGAACUAUGGUUUAGAGAAACCUGAGCUAUCAUUUCUUAAAAGUUUGGGGCUGCGACGCUUAUGUGAAAAAGUUCCAGGCACAUAAGCUCGAACCCAAAGCAGAUAAAUACAUCUUCAUAGGACACCCAAAACAGUUGGGUAUACCUCCUGUCUCAGAUCCGAAAGCAAUAGGGAUUGUUUCUCGAAUCGGGUCCAUUCUCGAGGAAAAAUUUCUCUCGAAAGAAUUGAGUGGGAGGAAGAUAGAACUUGAUAAGGUUGUUGAACCUUUACUUCAACCAGAGAGUAGCGCAGCACAGGAAAAAUGUUUCUGUGGCACCUGCCUCAGUUGAAGAGAAAGCUAAUGAUGAUGAUCAUGGAGCUUCAGAUCAAGUUACUAUCGAACCUCAUGGGUUGACAAGGGUGUGUACAACUUCUAAGUGGUAACCCUGUCUUAAAGGUCAUGUUGUUGGACAACGAUGAACCUAUGAGCUAUGGAGAAGCGAUGGUGGGCCCGGAUUCCGAAAAUUGGCUCGAGGCCAUAAAAUCCAAGAGAGGAUCCAUGUAUGAAAACAAAGUGUAGACUUUGGAAGAACUACUUGAUGGUCAUAAGGCUGUUAGGUACAUGUGGAUUUUAAGAAGAAGACGGACGUGGACGGUAAUGUCAUCGUCUAUGAAGCUCGACUUGUGGCGAAGAGUUUUUCACAAGUUCAAGUAGUUGACUACGAUGAGAUUUUCUCACCCGUAGCGAUGCUUAAGUCCGUCGGAAUCAUGUUAGCAUAAGCUGCAUUUAUGAAAUCUGGCAGAUGGAUGUCAAAACAAGUUUCCUUACCAGUUUUCGUAAGGAAAGGUUGUAUGUGAUACAAUCAGAAAGGUUUUGUCGAUCCUAAGGAUGCUAAAAGGUAUGCAAGCUCCAGCGAUCCUUCCAUGGACUAGAGCUAGCAUCUCGGAGUCGGAAUAUACACUUUGAUAGAGUAAUCAAAGUUUAUGGGUUUAUACAAAGUUUGUUAGAAACUUGUAUUUACAAUAAAGUGAGUGGGAGCACUACAACAUUUCUGAUAAGUAUAUGUGGAUGACAUAGUGUUGAUCCGAAAUGAUGAAGAACUUCUGGAAAGCAUAUAGGGUUAUUUGAAAAGUGUUUUUUCAAUGGAAAACCUUGAUUAAGCUACUUGAACAUUGAGCAUCAAGAUCUAUAAGGAUAGAUCAAAAAUGUUUAAUUGUACUUUCAAAUGAGCACAUACCUUGACAUGAUCUUGAAGGUGUUCAAGAUGGAUCAGCCAAAGAAGGAGUUCUUGCCUGAGUCGUAAGGUAUGAAGUUAAGACUUAAAGCUCGACCACGGCAGGAGAAAUAGGAAGGACGAAGGUCGUCCCCUAUGCUUUUGUCAUAGGCUCUAUAUGGUAUGCCAUGCUGAGUACCGCACCUGAUGUGUGCCUUGCCACAUGCCUGGCAAGAGGGUACAAAGGUGAUCUAGGAGUAGAUCACCAGAUAGCGGUCAAAAUUAUCCUUAGAGGAAUAAGGAUAUGUUUCUUGAUUAUGGAGGUGAUAAAGAGUUUGACAUAAAGAGUUACGUCGAUGCAAGCUUAACACCCAUCCGGAUAGCUCUGAGUAGAGAUACCGGAUACGUAUAAUGGAGCAACAAUUUAGAAUAGCUCCAAGUAGAAUAGUUAUUUGAAAUGGCUCCAAAUAUAGCAUAGAGAUUUGCGAAGUACAUACGGAUCUGAAUGUUGCAGACCCGUUGACUAAAGCCUCUCUCACAAGCAACAUGAUCAAACCCAGAACUCAUUGAGUGUUAAUCACAUAGUGAUGUGAACUAGAUUAUAAACUCUAGUAACUCUUUGGAUGUUGGUCACAUGGUGAUGUGACCUGUGAGUGUUAAUCACAUGGUGAUGUGAACUAGAUUAUUGACUCUAGUGCAAGUGGGAGACUGUUGGAAAUAUGCUCUAGAGGUAAUAAAAAAUUAGUUAUUAUUAUAUUUCCUUGUUCAUGAUAAUCGUUUAUUUUCCAUGCUAUAAUUGUAUUGAUAGGAAACUCAGAUACAUGUGUGGAUACAUAGACAACACCAUGUCCCUAGUAAGCCUCUAGUUGACUAGCUCGUUGAUCAAUAGAUGGUUACGGUUUCCUGACCAUGGACAUUGGAUGUCGUUGAUAACGGGAUCACAUCAUUAGGAGAAUCAUGUGAUGGACAAGACCCAAUCCUAAGCCUAGCACAAAGAUCGUGUAGUUCGUAUGCUAAAGCUUUUCUAAUGUCAAGUAUCAUUUCCUUAGACCAUGAGAUUGUGCAACUCCCGGAUACCGUAGGAAUGCUUUGGGUGUGCCAAACGUCACAACGUAACUGGGUGGCAAUAAAGGUACACUACGGGUAUCUCCGAAAGUGUCUGUUGGGUUGGCACGAAUCGAGACUGGGAUUUGUCACUCCGUGUGACGGAGAGGUAUCUCUGGGGCCACUCGGUAGGACAUCAUCAUAUGCGCAAUGUGACCAAGGAGUUGAUCACGGGAUGAUGUGUUACGGAACAAGUAAAGAGACUUGCCGCUAACAAGAUUGAACAAGGUAUCGGAUAACGACGAUCGAAUCUCGGGCAAGUACAAUACCGCUAGACAAAGGGAAUUGAAUACGGAAUUGAUUAAAUCCUCGACAUCGUGGUUCAUCCGAUGAGAUCAUCAUGGAACAUGUGGGAGCCAACAUGGGUAUCCAGAUCCCGUUGUUGGUUAUUGGCCGGAGAGUUGUCUCGGUCAUGUCUGCAUGGUUCCCGAACCCGUAGGGUCUACACACUUAAGGUUCGGUGACGCUAGAGUUGUUACGGGAAAUAGUAUGUGGUUACCGAAGGUUGUUAGCAGUCCUGGAUGAGAUCCCGGACAUGACGAGGAGCUCCGGAAUGGUCCGGAGGUGAAGAUCGGUAUAUUGGACGAAGGGUAUUGGAGUCCGGAAUUGUUCCGGGGGUACCAGGUGAUGACCAGCGUGUCCGAAAGGGGUUUCGGAGGCCCCGACAAGCGUUGGGGGGCCUUAUGGGCCAACGGGAGAGGGCACAUAAGCCCACUAAGGGGCUGAGCGCCCCUCCCACCCCAUCUCACGUAACCAGGAGUGGUGGGGGCGCCACCCCUAGGGCAGCCGCCCCUCCCAGCUUGGGGGGCAAGUUUCCUAAGGGGUGGGGGCGCCCAAACCGAUCUAGGGUUUCCCAUGUGGCCGCCGCCCCUCUCCUAGGGAACCCUAGGGCGCCUCCCCCUCCUCCCUUCCCCCUAUAUAUUGUGAGGGAGAGAGAGGGCAGCCGCACCCUUCCCCUGGCGCAGCCCUCUCCCUCCUCCAACACCUCGUCCUCCUCCGUAGUGCUUGGCGAAGCCCUGCCAGAGAACGACGAGCUCCAUCACCACCAUGCCGUCGUGCUGUCGGAGUUUUCCCUCAACUUCUCCUCUCCCCUUGCUGGAUCAAGAAGUAGGAGACGUCCCCGGGCUGUACGUGUGUUGAACGCGGAGGUGCCGUCCGUUCGGCACUAGGAUCAUCGGUGAUUUGGAUCACGACGAGUACGACUCCAUCAACCCCGUUCCCUUGAACGCUUCCGCUUAGCGAUCUACAAGGGUAUGUAGAUGCACUCUCCUUCCCUUGUUGCUAGAUUACUCCAUAGAUUAAUCUUGGUGAUGCGUAGAAAAUUUUGAAUUUCUGCUACGAUCCCCAACAGUGGCAUCAUGAGCUAGGUCUAUGCGUAGUUUCUAUGCACGAAUAGAACACAAAGUAGUUGUGGGCGUCGAUUUUGUCAAUUUACUUGCUGUUACUAGUCUUAUCUUGAUUCGGCGGCAUUGUGGGAUGAAGCGGCCCGGACCAACCUUACACGUACGCUUACGUGAGACCGGUUCCACCGACUGACAUGCACUAGUUGCAUAAGGUGGCUGGCGGGUGUCUGUCUCUCCCACUUUAGUCGGAUUGGAUUCGAUGAACAUGGUCCUUAUGAAGGGUAAAUAGAAAUUGGCAAUUCACGUUGUGGUUUUGGCGUAGGUAAGAAACGUUCUUGCUAGCAACCUAUAGCAGCCACGUAAAAACUUGCAACAACAAUUAGAGGACGUCUAACUUGUUUUUGCAGCAAGUGUUUUGUGAUGUGAUGUGGCCAAAGGAUGUGAUGAAUGAUAUAUGUGAUGUAUGAGAUGAUCAUGUUCUUGUAAUAGGAAUCACGACUUGCAUGUCGAUGAAUAUGAUAACCGGCAGGAGCCAUAGGAGUUGUCUUAAUUUAUUUAUGACCUGCGUGUCAACAUAAACGUCAUGUAAUUACUUUACUUUAUUGCUAACCGUUAGCUGUAGUAGUAGAAGUAAUAGUUGGCGAGACAACUUCAUGAAGACACAAUGAUGGAGAUCAUGGUGUCAUGCCGGUGACGAUGAUGAUCAUGGAGCCCCGAAGAUGGAGAUCAAAAGGAGCAAAGUGAUGAUGGCCAUAUCAUGUCACUAUUUGAUUGCAUGUGACGUUUAUCAUGUUUUUACAUCUUAUUUGCUUAGAAUGAUGGUAGCUUAAAUAAGAUGACCCCUCACUAAAAUUUCAAGAAAAGUGUUCUCCCUAACUGUGCACCGUUGCGAAGAUUUGUCGUUUCGAAGCACCACGUGAUGAUCGGGUGUGAUAGAUUCUUACGUUCGAAUACAACGGGUGUUGACGAGCCUAGCAUGUACAGACAUGGCCUCGGAACACAUGCGAAACACUUAGGUUAACUUGACGAGCCUAGCAUGUACAAACAUGGCCUCGGAACACGGAGGACCGAAAGGUCGAACAUGAGUCGUAUAGAAGAUGCGAUCAACAUGAGAUGUUCACCGAUGAUGACUAGUCCGUCUCACGUGAUGAUCGGACACGGCCUAGUCGAUUCAGAUCAUGUAUCACUUAGAUUACUAGAGGGAUGUCUAUCUGAGUGGGAGUUCAUGAAAUAAUCAGAUGAACUCAAUUAUCAUGAACAUAGUCAAAAGGACUUUGCAAAUUAUGUCGUAGCUCGCGCUUUAGUUCUACUGUUUUAGAUAUGUUCCUAGAGAAAAUUUAGUUGAAAGUUGAUAGUAGCAAUUAUGCGGACUGGAUCCGUAAACAGAGUAUUGUCCUCAUUGCUGCGCAGAAGGAUUAUGUCCUUAAUGCACCGGUCAGUGAGCUGACCCUCGAAUGUCGGUUGUGGAUGUUGCGAACAUCUGACAUACACGUUUUGAUGACUACAUGAUAGUUCAGUGCGUAAUGCUAAAUGGUUUAGAAUUGAGGCACCAAAGACGUUUUUGAAACAUCGCAGAACAUAUGAGAUGUUCCAAGGACAGAAAUUGGGAUUUCAGGCUAGUGCCCACGUCAAGAGGUAUGAGACCUUUGACAAGUUUCCUAAGCCUGCAAACUAAGGAGAAAAGCUCAAUCGUUGUGCAUGUGCUCAGAUUGUAUGAGUGCUACUAUCGCUUGAAUCGAGUGGGAGUUAAUCUUCCAGAUGAGAUAGUGAUGGUUCUCCAAAGUCACAGUCACCAAGCUACUGGAGCUUCAUGAUGAACUAUAACAUAACAGGGAUAGAUAUGAUCCUUGAGCUAUUCGCGACACCGCGAAAGUAGAAAUCAAAAGGGAGCAUCAAUUGUUGAUGGUUAGUAAAACCACUAGUUUCAAGAAAGGCAAGGGCAAGAAAGGGAUACUUCAUGAAACAACAAAUCAGUUGUUGCUCUAGUGAAGAAACCCAAAGUUGAACCCAAGCCCGAGACUAAGUGCUUCUGUAAUAAGGGCAACGGUCACUGAAGCAGAACCACCCUAGAUACUUGGUAGAUGAGAAGGCUGACAAGGUUGACAGAAGUAUGUAUUGGACAUAUAUUAAAUGUGUACUUUACUAGUACUCCUAGUAGCAGCAGGGUAUUAGAUACCGGUUCGGUUGCUAAGUGUUAGUAACUCGAAAUAAAAGGCUACAGAAUAAACAGAGACUAGCCAAAGGUGAGACGACGAUAGGUGUUGGAAGAGUUUCCAAGGUUGAUGUGAUCAAACAUCGCACGCUCCGUCUACCAUCGGGGUUGGUGUUAAACCUAAAUAAUUGUUAUUUGGUGUUUGCGUUGAGCAUGGACAUGAUUAGAUUAUGUUCAUCGCAAUGCGGUUAUUCAUUUAAGGAGAAUAAUGGUUACUCUGUUUAUUUGAAUAAUACCUUCAAUGGUCUUACACCUAAAAUGAAUGGUUUAUUGAAUCCCGAUCGUAGUGAUACACAUGUUCAUGCCAAAAGAUAUAAGAUAGUAAUGAUAGUACCACAUACUUGUGGCACUGCAAUUUUAGUCACAAUGGUAUAAAACACAUGAAGAAGCUCCAUGAUGAUGGAUCUUUGGACUCGCUUGAUUUUGAAUCACUUGAGACAUGCAAAUCAUACCACAUGAGCAAGAUGACUGAAAGGCCUCGUUUUCAGUAAGAUGGAACAAGAAAGCAACUUGUUGGAAGUAAUACAUCUUGAUGUGUGCAGUCCAAUGAGUGCUGAGGCAUGUAGUGGAUAUCGUUAUAUUCUUACUUCACAGAUGAUUUGAGUAGAUGCUGAGUAUAUUUACUUGAUGAAUCACGAGUCUGAAUUAUUGAAAGGUUCAAGUAAUUUUAGGGUGAAGUUGAAGAUCGUCGUGGCAAGAGGAUAAAAUAUCUAUGAUAUGAUCAUAGAGAUGAAUAUCUGAAUUACGAGUUUGGCACAAAUUUAAGACAUUGUGGAAAUUGUUUCACAACUAAUAUAGCCUGGAACACCAUAGUGUGAUAGUGUGUCCGAACAUCAUAACUGCACCCUAUUGGAUAUGAUGCAUACCAUGAUGUCUCUUAUCGAAUUACCACGAUAGUUUAUGGGUUAGGCAUUAGAGACAACCACAUUCACUUUAAAUAGGGCACCACGUAAUUCUGAUGAGAUGACACCGUAUGAACUAUGGUUUAGAGAAACCUAAGUUGUCAUUUCUUAAAAGUUUGGGGCUGCGACGUUUAUGUGAAAAAGUUCCAGGCUGAUAAGCUCGAACCCAAAGCGGAUAAAUACAUCUUCAUAGGACACCCAAAACAGUUGGGUAUACCUCCUGUCUCAGAUCUGAAAGCAAUAGGGAUUGUUUCUCGAAUCGGGUCCUUUCUCGAGGAAAAGUUUCUCUCGAAAGAAUUGAGUGGGAGGAAGAUAGAACUUGAUAAGGUUGUUGAACCUUUACUUCAACCAGAGAGUAGCGCAGCACAGGAAAAAUGUUUCUGUGGCACCUACCUCAGUUGAAGAGAAAGCUAAUGAUGAUGAUCAUGGAGCUUCAGAUCAAGUUACUAUCGAACCUCAUGGGUUGACAAGGGUGUGUACAACUUCUAAGUGGUAACCCUGUCUUAAAGGUCACGUUGUUGGACAACGAUGAACCUAUGAGCUAUGGAGAAGCGAUGGUGGGCCCGGAAUCCGAAAAUUAGCUCGAGGCCUUAAAAUCCAAGAGAGGAUCCAUGUAUGAAAACAAAGUGUAGACUUUGGAAGAACUACUUGAUGGUCGUAAGGCUGUUAGGUACAUGUGGAUUUUAAGAAGAAUACGGACGUGGACGGUAAUGUCAUCAUCUAUGAAGCUCGACUUGUGGCGAAGAGUUAUUCAGAAGUUCAAGCAGUUGAGUACGAUGAGAUUUUCUCACCCGUAGCGAUGCUUAAGUCCGUCGGAAUCAUGUUAGCAUAAGCUGCAUUUAUGAAAUCUGGCAGAUGGAUGUCAAAACAAGUUUCCUUACCAGUUUUCGUAAGGAAAAGUUGUAUGUGAUACAAUCAGAAAGGUUUUGUCGAUCCUAAGGAUGCUAAAAGGUAUGCAAGCUCCAGCGAUCCUUCCAUGGACUAGAGCUAGCAUCUCGGAGUCAGAAUAUACACUUUGAUAGAGUAAUCAAAGUUUAUGGGUUUAUACAAAGUUUGUUAGAAACUUGUAUUUACAAUAAAGUGAGUGGGAGCACUACAACAUUUCUGAUAAGUAUAUGUGGAUGACAUAGUGUUGAUCCAAAAUGAUGAAGAACUUCUGGAAAGCAUAUAGGGUUAUUUGAAAAGUGUUUUUUCAAUGGAAAACCUUGAUUAAGCGACUUGAACAUUGAGCAUCAAGAUCUAUAAGGAUAGAUAAAAAAUGCUUAAUUGUACUUUCAAAUGAGCACAUGCCUUGACAUGAUCUUGAAGGUGUUCAAGAUGGAUCAGCCAAAGAAGGAGUUCUUGCCUGAGUUGUAAGGUAUGAAGUUAAGACUUAAAGCUCGACGUCGGCGGGAGAAAGAGGAAGGACGAAGGUCGUCCCCUAUGCUUUUGUCAUAGGCUCUAUACGGUAUGCCAUGCUGAGUACCGCACCUGAUGUGUGCCUUGCCACAUGCCUGGCAAGAGGGUACAAAGGUGAUCUAGGAGUAGAUCACCAGAUAGCGGUCAAAAUUAUCCUUAGAGGAAUAAGGAUAUGUUUCUCGAUUAUGAGGUGAUAAAGAGUUCGACAUAAAGAGUUACGUCGAUGCAAGCUUAACACCUAUCUGGAUAGCUCUGAGUAGAGAUACCGGAUACGUAUAAUGGAGCAACAAUUUAGAAUAGCUCCAAGUAGAACAGUUAUUUGAAAUGGCUCCAAAUAUAGCGUAGAGAUUUGCGAAGUACAUACGGAUCUGAAUGUUGCAGACCCGUUGACUAAAACCUCUCUCACAAGCAACAUGAUCAAACCCAGAACUCAUUGAGUGUUAAUCACAUAGUGAUGUGAACUAGAUUAUUGACUCUAGUAAACUCUUUGGAUGUUGGUCACAUGGCGAUGUGACCUGUGAGUGUUAAUCACAUGGCGAUGUGAACUAGAUUAUUGACUCUAGUGCAAGUGGGAGACUGUUGAAAUAUGCUCUAGAGGCAAUAACAAAUUAGUUAUUAUUAUAUUUCCUUGUUCAUGAUAAUCGUUUAUUAUCCAUGCUAUAAUUGUAUUGAUAGGAAACUCAGAUACAUGUGUGGAUACAUAGACAACACCAUGUCCCUAGUAAGCCUCUAGUUGACUAGCUCGUUGAUCAAUAGAUGGUUACGGUUUCCUGACCAUGGACAUUGGAUGUCCUUGAUAACGGGAUCACAUCAUUAGGAGAAUCAUGUGAUGGACAAGACCCAAUCCUAAGCCUAGCACAAAGAUCGUGUAGUUCGUAUGCUAAAGCUUUUCUAAUGUCAAGUAUCAUUUCCUUAGACCAUGAGAUUGUGCAACUCCCGGAUACCGUAGGAAUGCUUUGGGUGUGCCAAACGUCACAACGUAACUGGGUGGCUAUAAAGGUACACUACGGGUAUCUCCGAAAGUGUCCGUUGGGUUGGCACGAAUCGAGACUGGGAUUUGUCACUCCGUGUGACGGAGAGGUAUCUCUGGGCCCACUCGGUAGGACAUCAUCAUAUGCGCAAUGUGACCAAGGAGUUGAUCACGGCAUGAUGUGUUACGGAACGAGUAAAGAGACUUGCCGGUAACGAGAUUGAACAAGGUAUCGGAUACCGACGAUCGAAUCUCGGGCAAGUACAAUACCACUAGACAAAGGGAAUUAAAUACGGGAUUGAUUAAAUCCUCGACAUCGUGGUUCAUCCGAUGAGAUCAUCAUGGAACAUGUGGGAGCCAACAUGGGUAUCCAGAUCCCGAUGUUGGUUAUUGGCUGGAGAGUUGUCUCGGCCAUGUCUGCAUGGUUCCCGAACCCGUAGGGUCUACACACUUAAGGUUCAGUGACACUAGAGUUGUUAUGGGAAAUAGUAUGUGGUUACCGAAGGUUGUUCGGAGUCCCGGAUGAGAUCCCGGACAUGACGAGGAGCUCCGGAAUGGUCCAUACGUGAAGAUCGGUAUAUUGGACGAAGGGUAUUGGAGUCCGGAAUUGUUCCGGGGGUACCAGGUGAUGACCAGCGUGUCCGAAAGGGGUUUCGGAGGCCCCAACAAGCGUUGGGGGGCCUUAUGGGCCAAGGGGAGAGGGCACAUCAGCCCACUAAGGGGCUGAGCACCCCGCCCACCCCAUCUCACGUAACCAGGAGAGGUGGGGGCGCCACCCCUAGGGCAGCCGCCCCUCCUAGCUUGGGGGGCAAGUUUCCUAAGGGGUGGGGGCGCCCAAACCCUUCUAGGGUUUCCCCUGUGGCAGCCGCCCCUCCCCUAGGGAACCCUAGGGCGCCUCCCCCUCCUCCCUUCCCCCUAUAUAUUGUGAGGGAGAGAGAGGGCAGCCGCACCCUUCCCCUGGCGCAGCCCUCUCCCUCCUCCAACACCUCGUCCUCCUCCGUAGUGCUUGGCGAAGCCCUGCCAGAGAACCACGAGCUCCAUCACCACCAUGCCGUCGUGCUGUCGGAGUUUUCCCUCAACUUCUCCUCUCCCCUUGCUGGAUCAAGAAGGAGGAGACGUCCCCGGGCUGUACAUGUGUUGAACGCGGAGGUGCCAUCCGUUCGGCACUAGGAUCAUCAGUGAUUUGGAUCACGACGAGUACGACUCCAUCAACCCCGUUCACUUGAACGCUUCCGUUGAGCGAUCUACAAGGGUAUGUAGAUGCACUCUCCUUCCCUCAUUGCUAGAUUACUCCAUAGAUUGAUCUUGGUGAUGCGUAGAAAAUUUUGAAUUUCUGCUAUGAUCCCCAACAGUGGCAUCAUGAGCUAGGUCUAUGCGUAGUUUCUAUGCACGAAUAGAACACAAAGUAGUUGUGGGCGUCGAUUUUGUCAAUUUACUUGCCGUUACUGGUCUUAUCUUGAUUCGGCGGCAUUGUGGGAUGAAGCGGCCCGGACCAACCUUACACGUACGCUUACGUUCGACCGGUUCCACCGACUGACAUGCACUAAUUGCAUAAGGUGGCUGGUGGGUGUCUGUCUCUCCCACUUUAGUCGGAUCGGAUUCGAUGAACAUGGUCCUUAUGAAGGGUAAAUAGAAAUUGGCAAUUCACGUUGUGGUUUUGGCGUAGGUAAGAAACGUUCUUGCUAGCAACCUAUAGCAGCCACGUAAAAACUUGCAACAACAAUUAGAGGACGUCUAACUUGUUUUUGCAGCAAGUGUUUUGUGAUGUGAUGUGGCCAAAGGAUGUGAUGAAUGAUAUAUGUGAUGUAUGAGAUGAUCAUGUUCUUGUAAUAGGAAUCACGACUUGCAUGUCGAUGAAUAUGAUAACCGGCAGGAGCCAUAGGAGUUGUCUUAAUUUAUUUAUGACCUGCGUGUCAACAUAAACGUCAUGUAAUUACUUUACUUUAUUGCUAACCGUUAGCUGUAGUAGUAGAAGUAAUAGUUGGCGAGACAACUUCAUGAAGACACAAUGAUGGAAAUCAUGGUGUCAUGCCGGUGGCGAUGAUGAUCAUGGAGCCCCGAAGAUGGAGAUCAAAAGGAGCAAAGUUAUGAUGGCCAUAUCAUGGCACUAUUUGAUUGCAUGUGACGUUUAUCAUGUUUUUACAUCUUAUUUGCUUAGAACGACGGUAGCUUAAAUAAGAUGACCCCUCACUAAAAUUUCAAGAAAAGUGUUCUCCCUAACUGUGCACCGUUGCGAAGGUUCGUCGUUUCAAAGCACCACGUGAUGAUCGGGUGUGAUAGAUUCUUAUGUUCGAAUACAACGGGUGUUGACGAGCCUAGCAUGUACAGACAUGGCCUCGGAACACAUGCGAAACACUUAGGUUAACUUGACGAGCCUAGCAUGUACAGACAUGGCCUCGGAACACGGAGGACCGAAAGGUCGAACAUGAGUCGUAUAGAAGAUGCGAUCAACAUGAGAUGUUCACCGAUGAUGACUAGUCCGUCUCACGUGAUGAUCGGACACGGCCUAGUCGAUUCGGAUCAUGUAUCACUUAGAUGACUAGAGGGAUGUCUAUCUGAGUGGGAGUUCAUGAAAUAAUCAGAUGAACUCAAUUAUCAUGAACAUAGUCAAAAGGACUUUGCAAAUUAUGUCGUAGCUCGCGCUUUAGUUCUGCUGUUUUAGAUAUGUUCCUAGAGAAAAUUAGUUGAAAGUUGAUAGUAGCAAUUAUGCGGACUGGAUCCGUAAACAGAGUAUUGUCCUCAUUGCUGCGCAGAAGGAUUAUGUCCUUAAUGCACCGCUCAGUGAGCUGACCCUCGAAUGUCGGUUGUGGAUGUUGUGAACUUCUGACAUACACGUUUUGAUGACUACAUGAUAGUUCAGCGCGUAAUGCUAAAUGGUUUAGAAUUGAGGCACCAAAGACAUUUUUGAAACAUCACAGAACAUAUGAGAUGUUCCAAGGACUGAAAUCGGGAUUUCAGGCUAGUGCCCACGUCAAGAGGUAUGAGACCUUUGACAAGUUUCCUAAGCCUGCAAACUAAGGAGAAAAGCUCAAUCGUUGAGCAUGUGCUCAGAUUGUAUGAGUGCUACUAUCGCUUGAAUCGAGUGGGAGUUAAUCUUCCAGAUGAGAUAGUGAUUGUUCUCCAAUGUCAUUUUCACCAAGCUACUGGAGCUUCGUGAUGAACUAUAACAUAACAGGGAUAGAUAUGAUCCUUGAGCUAUUCGCGACACCGCAAAAGUAGAAAUCAAAAGGGAGCAUCAAUUGUUGAUGGUUAGUAAAACCACUAGUUUUAAGAAAGGCAAGGGCAAGAAAGGGAUACUUCAUGAAACAACAAAUCAGUUGCUGCUCUAGUGAAGAAACCCAAAGUUGAACCCAAGCCCGAGACUAAGUGCUUCUGUAAUAAGGGGAACGGUCACUGAAGCAGAACCACCCUAGAUACUUGGUAGAUGAGAAGGCUGACAAGGUUGACAGAAGUAUGUAUUGGACAUAUAUUAAAUGUGUACUUUACUAGUACUCCUAGUAGCAGCAGGGUAUUAGAUACCGGUUCGGUUGCUAAGUGUUAGUAACUCGAAAUAAAAGGCUACAGAAUAAACGGAGACUAGCCAAAGGUGAGACGACGAUAGGUGUUGGAAGAGUUUCCAAGGUUGAUGUGAUCAAACAUCGCACGCUCCGUCUACCAUCGGGGUUGGUGUUAAACCUAAAUAAUUGUUAUUUGGUGUUUGCGUUGAGCAUGGACAUGAUUAGAUUAUGUUCAUCGCAAUGCGGUUAUUCAUUUAAGGAGAAUAAUGGUUACUCUGUUUAUUUGAGUAAUACCUUCAAUGGUCUAACACCUAAAAUGAAUGGUUUAUUGAAUCCCGAUCAUAGUGAUACACAUGUUCAUGCUAAAAGAUAUAAGAUAGUAAUGAUAGUACCACAUACUUGUGGCACUGAAAUUUUAGUCACAAUGGUAUAAAACGCAUGAAGAAGCUCCAUGAUGAUGGAUCUUUGGACUCGCUUGAUUUUGAAUCACUUGAGACAUGCAAAUCAUACCACAUGAGCAAGAUGACUGAAAGGCCUCGUUUUCAGUAAGAUGGAACAAGAAAGCAACUUGUUGGAAGUAAUACAUCUUGAUGUGUGCAGUCCAAUGAGUGCUGAGGCAUGUAGUGGAUAUCGUUAUAUUCUUACUUCACAGAUGAUUUGAGUAGAUGCUGAGUAUAUUUACUUGAUGAAUCACGAGUCUGAAUUAUUGAAAGGUUCAAGUAAUUUCAGGGUGAAGUUGAAGAUCGUCAUGGCAAGAGGAUAAAAUAUCUAUGAUAUGAUCAUAGAGAUGAAUAUCUGAAUUACGAGUUUGGCACAUAAUUAAGACAUUGUGGAAAUUGUUUCACAACUAAUACAGCCUGGAACACCAUAGUGUGAUGGUGUGUCCGAACAUCAUAACUACACCCUAUUGGAUAUGAUGCAUACCAUGAUGUCUCUUAUCGAAUUACCACGAUAGUUUAUGGGUUAGGCAUUAGAGACAACCACAUUCACUUUAAAUAGGGCACCACGUAAUUCCGAUGAGAUGACACCGUAUGAACUAUGGUUUAGAGAAACCUAAGUUGUCAUUUCUUAAAAGUUUGGGGCUACGACGCUUAUGUGAAGAAGUUCCAGGCUGAUAAGCUCAAACCCAAAGCGGAUAAAUACAUCUUCAUAGGACACCCAAAACAGUUGGGUAUACCUCCUGUCUCAGAUCCGAAAGCAAUAGGGAUUGUUUCUCGAAUCGGGUCCUUUCUCGAGGAAAAGUUUCUCUCGAAAGAAUUGAGUGGGAGGAAGAUAGAACUUGAUAAGGUUGUUGAACCUUUACUUCAACCAGAGAGUAGCGCAGCAUAGGGAAAAUGUUUCUGUGGCACCUGCCUCAGUUGAAGAGAAAGCUAAUGAUGAUGAUCAUGGAGCUUUAGAUCAAGUUACUAUCGAACCUCAUGGGUUGACAAGGGUGUGUACAACUUCUAAGUGGUAACCUUGUCUUAAAGGUCACGUUGUUGGACAACGAUGAACCUAUGAGCUAUGGAGAAGCGAUGGUGGGCCCGGAUUCCGAAAAUUGGCUCGAGGCCAUAAAAUCCAAGAGAGGAUCCAUGUAUGAAAACAAAGUGUAGACUUUGGAAGAACUACUUGAUGGUCGUAAGGCUGUUAGGUACAUGUGGAUUUUAAGAAGAAGACGGACGUGGACGGUAAUGUCAUCGUCUAUGAAGCUCGACUUGUGGCGAAGAGUUUUUCACAAGUUCAAGCAGUUGAGUACGAUGAGAUUUCAUCACCCGUAGCGAUGCUUAAGUCCGUCGGAAUCAUGUUAGCAUAAGCUGCAUUUAUGAAAUCUGGCAGAUGGAUGUCAAAACAAGUUUCCUUACCAGUUUUCGUAAGGAAAGGUUGUAUGUGAUACAAUCAGAAAGGUUUUGUCGAUCCUAAGGAUGCUAAAAGGUAUGCAAGCUCCAGCGAUCCUUCCAUGGACUAGAGCUAGCAUCUCGGAGUCGGAAUAUACACUUUGAUAGAGUAAUCAAAGUUUAUGGGUUUAUACAAAGUUUGUUAGAAACUUGUAUUUACAAUAAAGUGAGUGGGAGCACUACAACAUUUCUGAUAAGUAUAUGUGGAUGACAUAGUGUUGAUCCGAAAUGAUGAAGAACUUCUGGAAAGCAUAUAGGGUUAUUUGAAAAGUGUUUUUUCAAUGGAAAACCUUGAUUAAGCUACUUGAACAUUGAGCAUCAAGAUCUAUAAGGAUAGAUCAAAAACGCUUAAUUGUACUUUCAAAUGAGCACAUACCUUGACAUGAUCUUGAAGGUGUUCAAGAUGGAUCAGCCAAAGAAGGAGUUCUUGCCUGAGUUGUAAGGUAUGAAGUUAAGACUUAAAGCUCGACCACGGCAGGAGAAAGAGGAGGACGAAGGUUGUCCCCUAUGAUUUUGUCAUAGGCUCUAUACGGUAUGCCAUGCUGAGUACCGCACCUGAUGUGUGCCUUGCCACAUGCCUGGCAAGAGGGUACAAAGGUGAUCUAGGAGUAGAUCACCAGAUAGCGGUCAAAAUUAUCCUUAGAGGAAUAAGGAUAUGUUUCUCGAUUAUGAAGGUGAUAAAGAGUUCGACAUAAAGAGUUACGUCGAUGCAAGCUUAACACCUAUCCGGAUAGCUCUGAGUAGAGAUACCGGGUACGUAUAAUGGAGCAACAAUUUAGAAUAGCUCCAAGUAGAACAGUUAUUUGAAAUGGCUCCAAAUAUAGCGUAGAGAUUUGCGAAGUACAUACGGAUCUGAAUGUUGCAGACCCGUUGACUAAAACCUCUCUCACAAGCAACAUGAUCAAACCCAGAACUCAUUGAGUGUUAAUCACAUAGUGAUGUGAACUAGAUUAUUGACUCUAGUAAACUCUUUGCAUGUUGGUCACAUGGCGAUGUGACGUGUGAGUGUUAAUCACAUGGCGAUGUGAACUAGAUUAUUGACUCUAGUGCAAGUGGGAGACUGUUGGAAAUAUGCUCUAGAGGCAAUAACAAAUUAGUUAUUAUUAUAUUUCCUUGUUCAUGAUAAUCGUUUAUUAUCCAUGCUAUAAUUGUAUUGAUAGGAAACUCAGAUACAUGUGUGGAUACAUAGACAACACCAUGUCCCUAGUAAGCCUCUACUUGACUAGCUCGUUGAUCAAUAGAUAGUUACGGUUUCCUGACCAUGGACAUUGGAUGUCGUUGAUAACGGGAUCACAUCAUUAGGAGAAUCAUGUGAUGGACAAGACCCAAUCCUAAGCCUAGCACAAAGAUCAUGUAGUUCGUAUGCUAAAGCUUUUCUAAUGUCAAGUAUCAUUUCCUUAGACCAUGAGAUUGUGCAACUCCCGGAUACCGUAGGAAUGCUUUGGGUGUGCCAAACGUCACAACGUAACUGGGUGGCUAUAAAGGUACACUACGGGUAUCUCCGAAAGUGUCUGUUGGGUUGGCACGAAUAGAGACUGGGAUUUGUCACUCCGUGUGACGGAGAGGCAUCUCUGGGCCCAUUCGGUAGGGCAUCAUCAUAUGCACAAUGUGACCAAGGAGUUGAUCACGGGAUGAUGUGUUACGGAACGAGUAAAGAGACUUGCCGGUAACGAGAUUGAACAAGGUAUUGGAUACCGACGAUCGAAUCUCGGGCAAGUACAAUACCGCUAGACAAAGGGAAUUGAAUACGGGAUUGAUUAAAUCCUCGACAUCGUGGUUCAUCCGAUGAGAUCAUCGUGGAACAUGUGGGAGCCAACAUGGGUAUCCAGAUCCCGCUGUUGGUUAUUGGCCGGAGAGUUGUCUCGGUCAUGUCUGCAUGGUUCCCGAACCCGUAGGGUCUACACACUUAAGGUUCGGUGACGCUAGAGUUGUUAUGGGAAAUAGUAUGUGGUUACCGAAGUUUGUUCGGAGUCCCGGAUGAGAUCCCGGACAUGACGAGGAGCUCCGGAAUGGUCCGGAGGUGAAGAUCGGUAUAUUGGACGAAGGGUAUUGGAGUCCGAAAUUGUUCCGGGGGUACCAGGUGAUGACCAGCGUGUCCGAAAGGGGUUUCGGAGGCCCCGACAAGCGUUGGGGGGCCUUAUGGGCCAAGGGGAGAGGGCACAUCAGCCCACUAAGGGGCUGAGCGCCCCUCCCACCCCAUCUCACGUAACUAGGAGAGGUGGGGGCGCCACCCCUAGGGCAGCCGCCCCUCCCAGCUUGGGGGGCAAGUUUCCUAAGGGGUGGGGGCGCCCAAACCCAUCUAGGGUUUCCCCUGUGGCCGACGCCCCUCCCCUAGGGAACCCUAGGGCACCUCCCCCUCCUCCCUUCCCCCUAUAUAUUGUGAGGGAGAGAGAGGGCAGCCGCACCCUUCCCCUGGCGUAGCCCUCUCCCUCCUCCAACACCUCGUCCUCCUCCGUAGUGCUUGGCGAAGCCCUGCCAAAGAACCACGAGCUCCAUCACCACCAUGCCGUCGUGCUGUCGGAGUUUUCCCUCAACUUCUCCUCUCCCCUUGCUGGAUCAAGAAGGAGGAGACGUCCCCGGGUUGUACGUGUGUUGAACGCGAAGGUGCCGUCCGUUCGGCACUAGGAUCAUCGGUGAUUUGGAUCACGACGAGUACGACUCCAUCAACCCCAUUCACUUGAACGCUUCCGCUUAGCGAUCUACAAGGGUUUGUAGAUGCACUCUCCUUCCCUCGUUGCUAGAUUACUCCAUAGAUUGAUCUUGGUGAUGCGUAGAAAAUUUUGAAUUUCUGCUACGAUCCCCAACAUGCUGAUCUAACUAGAACUUUCUCACAAGAGGAGGUGAAAGAGGCCUUGUUUGCAAUGGAUGUUAAUAGAGCACCUGGCCCCGAUAACAUUCCUGCGGAGUUUUAUCAACAUUGCUGGGACAUUGUCAAAAAUGACAUUAUGCGGCUAUUCAGCCACUUCCAUACUGGUACGCUUGACGUGCAGCGCCUUAAUUAUGGGGUGAUUACUCUUCUACCUAAAGUGUCAGGUGCUGAUCGCAUCCAGCAAUUUCGGCCUAUUUGUCUUCUUAGGUGCCCAUACAAACUGAUAACUAAGACUAUGGAUCGAAGAGUAGAAAAAUAUGUUGACAAACUGAUAAGCUUGUCACAAAAUGCUUUUGUUAAAGGGAGGAAUAUUAUAGAUGGGAUCAUGACUUUACAUGAGCUCCUCAAUUACACCCAUGUCAAGAAAAAAAUAGGGGUGGUGCUAAAGCUCGAUUUCGAGAAAGCAUACGACAAGGUUAACUGGGAGUUUCUGUUGGAUUGCCACAGAAUGAGGGGCUUCAACGAAACCUGGUGUGGGUGGGUGAAUCAAAUCCUAUACAAUGGUACUGUUAGUAUCAAGCUUAAUAACUCAGUGGGCCCAUAUUUCCAAAGUGCUAAAGGGGUCCACCAAGGAGACCCCCACUCCCCCUUUUUGUUUAAUCUAGCUGUAGAUUGUCUCAGCAAGAUGAUCCGUAAAGCGCAGCAGAAUGGCCUCCUAACUGGACUAGCUUCUGAUCUUGUCCCGAAUGGGGUGGCAGUUCUGCAACACGCAGAUGACACGAUCAUUUGCCUCGAGCAUGACGUGGAAAAGGCAUUAAACCUGAAGCUCCUAUUGUACAUAUUCGAACUCAUGUCUGGACUGAAAGUAAACUUCCAGAAGAGUGAGAUCCUGACUGUCGGAGGGGACGUUGACAUUGAUAACAAAUAUGCCGAGAUCUUUAACUGUGAGAUCGGUCACUUUCCAAUUAAGUAUCUUGGUAUGCCUGUGAGCUUCACAACCCUUAAAGAUUCAGUGUGGGAAUUUAUUGUAGAUAAAUACCUUAAGUGUUUCGGGUCCUGGAUUGGCAAUGCUGCAUCCAGCGGGGGCAGACUUACUUUGCUUACCUCGGUUUUAGCACAACUAUCUUUAUAUCAUAUGUCCAUGUGGCUUAUGAGUAAAACUUUCGUAGAAAGGCUGGACAAGCACCGUCGUAAAUUCUUUUGGCACAGGUGCAAUAAGAAGAAUAAGAUAUUACCUGGUCAAAUAGAAGAUGGUGUGUAGAUCGAAGAGCAAAGGGGGUCUGGGUGUCAAAGACCUCAGGAAACAAAACAUCAGCCUAAUGGUGAAAUGGUGGUGGAAAUUAGAAACUCAAACUGGGGUUUGGCAAAACUUGGUGAGAGCCAGAUAUUUACAAAACAAGUCGGUAGCAAAUGUGCAACCUAGACAAUCUGACUCCCCAUGCUGGAAAUCUCUUCUAAAAGUCGGGGAGUUGUACAUGAUGGGGAGGAAAAUUAAGCUGGGAUGCGGCAACCUGAGCAAGGUUUGGAAAGACUCAAUUGAUGGGAUGCCCCCACUCAAUUCGAGGUUCCCUCGGCUGUUUGAAAUCUAUACAAAUCAGGACUGUACGGUCCAAAACUUUAACAAGGUAGAGGCUUCGACAUUUUUUAGAAGGCGUCUAUGCCCUGAUCUUAGAGAACAGUGGUAUAAGGUGCGGCAGUAAAUCUUGGGGCUUAAUACUACAGCCAAGGAAGAUGUUGUGCUUUGGGGUCUGAGCAAGAAUGCUAAGUACUCCACUAAAUCUAUGUAUAAUUGGCUGGAAAAACCUCUCCAUGGAAGCAACUAUAGAUGGAUCUGGGGGGUGAAACUACCUCUUAAGAUACAGAUCUUCUUGUGGCAGAUGGCCCAAGAUGCGGUGCUCACUAGAGCGGGGAUGAGGAGGAGGAAUUGGCUGGGGAACCCUGUGUGUUCCUUCUGUAACCAUAUUGAAACUGCGUCCCACUUAUUCUUUACGUGUCCUGUGGCGCGUGUUGCCUGGAGGGCAGUUGGAGUUGUGCUAGGGACUGACUUAUGUCCAAAUAACAUCUGGCAAUUCUAUGUGUGGUGUAACAUGUUCCUACCCAAUGAAACCAGAUUUUAUGCUAUUGGUUUGGCGGCAGUAACUUGGGCUAUUUAGCUUGCGCGAAAUAAGGCUACUUUUGAAAAGCAUUUGAUCAAAUCUCCUUUUGAGAUUGUGUAUUCGGCUUGUUUGUUUCUCUUGUAUUGGGCAGGUCUUCAGCCGGUGGAAGAAGCGUCAAGGUUGCGACUCGGAGCUGAGAUGAUUAGAGCAAGCACAACCAAGUUGAUGGCGAUGUGUGAAGGGGCUAGGCGUGCCACGGGAGACAAGGGUGAGGUGUUCUCUGGAUGAUGAUGAUGCUGCUGCUCUGCUCUACAUUCUGCCCCUGGUUGUGAUAGGAGGCGUUGUGUUAAGGUCUAAGUCUCAGGCUCCGCGGCUGGAAAACUUUUGAAGUUUUCAUGCUAAAAAUAUUGUUCCUCUGGCACCUCAUGUUUGUGCCUUUUCUCCCCUGGUCUGUAAUAGCUAGACCCAAACUAAGUAGGUGUUGUCAGGUUUUCGCCCCAUGGUGCUCGUUUCGAUGGCGAGCGAGUACAGUGGGUUUCUUGGCAGUGCGUUGAACUCGCUGCUUCUCUUUCCUUGCUACCUGAAUGUAUCGGACACUGUUGUAUUUCUGUUUAUCUUAAAUGGAAAGGGCACGCCCGGUUAAAAAAAAAAGAGUGAUUGAGUUCUUGAACUCAAGCAGUGACAGCAUGUCUGUCUCGCUUCCAUGCAAGGAGCUGCAGGUGGUAACGUGUGCGCAGCCAAAGGUGAGCAGCAUGACCAGCAACCGGCUCACCGCAGUAACCAUCAUCGCUUGCCUUGCCUGCUUCCACCAUUAUGUGCAGAUCAAAAGGAGAAAAUUUAUUAGAACGAAGAGAACUAGUACUAAGAUAGAAGUUAAGAAAGGUAAGUUUGGAUGGUCAAUAUAUUCUUAAUGUUAGCUAAGAUCCAUAUAUGUUCUGCGAAGCAGCUGGGACGGAUGUAUAGUUCUAAUCACCCUUGUGUAGAAUGCAUGACAUGAGGAGGAGCGGUGAUUCAUCUGGUCCAUUGAUGACGGCGGAUCUCGGCGGCGUGGCGCAGUGGAGACUCGGCGACUGAUGAGCGGAGAUGGACUUGCGCAGGAGGGUGACGCUGCCUGGCGUCGUGGUGGCGUUGGCGACAGCUAGACCGGGCAAGGUUGAUGCAGCAAUACAACUCUGAAGAUGGAUUGAUGGUAGGUGGCUGCGGCGGCCUCAUACCCGGUUGGCGUCUUGGUUGAGAAGCACGCCGGACUGGUGGGUGCCCAUACCCGGCAGGCGUCCUGGUUGGGACCUCAAGUCUUAGAUGUUAGAUUUGACUGCGAGGUCUGUUUGGUAUUAGGCCUAGACUUUCAACGCCCCUACAUCAACUGGAUAGGGAUAGCAACAGUUGUUGCUUAGUUGGUGGCUUUAGGUUUAUUGUUGUAUGAAUCUGUAAAGUCUUGUGUCAAUAAUUAAUAAAAUGACUGUAUGCAUAGUCCAGAUGCAGAGGCCGGAGGUCGUCCUCCUUUUUAAAAAAAAAAGCUAAACAACUUUACUUGCAUCGAGUGUAAUCAGUGAAAGUUCAGCAGAAGAUAAACAGAUGUUGGUAGGUACUACAAAUAUUGAUCUGUCGUAUGCUGAAGUACGUACCUGAUUUGGCUCUCUGCUACUUGAGCUUCUCCUUGCUCAAGAAUUUUUCUAUCCCUAUCGGAGAUCUCGAUUCACUCGUAGACAUACUGCUUGAGAAACAUGCGCCUCCCUUGAUUUAUAGACAUCUUCAGCUCUAAUAGGCUGCUUUCCAUGGCAUUCAACCGGCCGGGGAACCUUUUCAAGCUAGUACUAGUAAAACAGGACCACUUUAAGCGAGAGCGAAUUUUUGGCACCGGGUGGCUUCAAAAAGAGAAGCAAAAGGCAUACGUACUUACUAGACUACUAGUUCACGCGUUUUGGAACGCGAACCUGCGUGUAAAACAUUUUCAAGAGAAACCAUUUGAAAGUCUGAAACAAAAGCUAUGGGAGUCAUGCAAUUUUCUUGUUUUGCAAACGGAUACAUGUGUUUGCACUUUGCAACGAUGCACAAGCAUCCCACUAGUUCAGUACAACCAACGAUAAUGCGCCUGAAUGACUUCUUUUAGAACCCUCGUCAUUUUAUAAGCUUCCACUGUCAAUGCUGCUCCCACCGUUGAUUGAGACCAACGAAAGCCAGAGUCAUUUUAUAAUUAACCACUCAUUCCUAUGCUAAUGCGCCUCGCCAAGCAUUGCAACUAUUCAUUAACACGUUUAACUUUGUACUGAACCACCAAUGUUAGGUAGACGGUCGAUGCGGAUUAUUUUAGCAAGGGCAAAGGAUUGAAGGGGUAUCUGCUCUUUCAGGGUCCAGGUUCAAGCCAAGAAGAGUAAAUUGAAGGUGCACUAGGUAGCACCACUUCAGGGAGUACUUCAUUAUGCCUUUGAAACUAUCAAUCCACCAACUUGCAAUCGGUUCAAAGUGAUCUCCCAGAUAAACAUACAGAAAUUGACAGAUCGUAGCCCAAAUCAAAGCCACAUAGUCUGAUAGGAAAACACAUGCAUUUUCAGCAUAGAGAAGGCAAGAAAGAUCAUCUAGGCACUGACCCUUAAUGAAGCUAUCCCUAAUCAGGAUCUUAUCAUGAGUGACUAAACAAGGAAAAACUUGACCGAUAGGGCUGCACAGAUGAUUUCAGUAAGGACUGCCCAAGUGAGAUGCACCCGGUUUUGCAUGAAGGAUUGGAUGGAGUAAGAGGGUGCUUGGAUACAAGGGACUAUUUUUAGUCUGACUAAAAAUAGUCUCUUUUAGAGGCUAAAGUUCCAAGCACCCCUGACUAAAGAGAGGCUAGGACUAGUCUUGAGGCUAAAAUCUUUUAGUCAUGGAAAACCUACUAAAAUAUGUAUUAGCUCUCUCUCUCCUCAUUUAAUUCCUCUCCUUAGUUCUGGAUUGGAGGGUUUGGAGGAUAAUAAAUGCUCAAUAACUAGAUUGUAGUCACUUUAGUACUUGGAUUCAAGCAUGGGUGAGACUAGCAAGUUUUAGUCCCACUACUUUUAGUCAUGGGACUAAAACGUAUCUAAGCAUGCUCUAAAUCCCUCAAGAAGUAAAAUGCCAAAGGAGAGGAACCCUUGUCAUCAUAAAAGGCUAUAGAUUCAGCCAUGCAAUGUUAAUAUAUUUAUUAUUUAAUUCACAAAAAUAAGAAAUGGCGAUUCUUCGUACAGCCAACUUAAUAUCAACAAAAAACAAGAAAACAUAUGCAACAUAAACACCUAUGAAACUGGUUACUCUAGAAAGAGACAUCCCAUUCGAGUCAAAUUUGGAAGGGGCAAACGGAACAAAAUGUCUAUAAAAUGGUAAAUCUAAGGAACUUUUUUUAAUAUCUCAGAUAUUGUGAGGGAAAAAAACACUCAUGUGAGUAGUGGCGUCACCUUUUUUUUCCACUUCAUUUGCAGCCGUGUUUCAGAGUACGUAGUUGCAAUUAAGAUUUAUUUUACUUCAGUGUUUUUAGUUCUUUUUUCAAAAAUUACAAAUUCAUUGUUUCCCAUGGGUCAGAUUACCGUGACUACAUGUACAUUACCUUAUGCAUGGAGCAGAGAUAGCGCUCCCACUAAAAGUCUUCCUCCUGUCUUUUUCAGCUUCAAGAAAAACCAAUCAAUCCCAAUACAGCACAACAGUUACUUCCUUGUCGCGCAGCAGCACUGUUCACCAUCCGGCACAUCACUUGCUCUCUUUCAUAUGAGCCUCCCUCAUUAGACAAGUAUGACAAAUGAAUAACUGAAGUAGUGCCAAAAAAGGAAUAACUGAAGUAAACAGCACAACAGCAAGAUCAUGAUAAUAAUACCACGCUAACUCAAAAUAAGAACAACAUGUCCGGAAUAUCUUAAACGCCACAAGGCGGCAAACAUCUGAAACCUGUCACAGUAGGCAAUAUAGUUCAGCAAAAUAACCAACCAAUGACACAAGCUGUUUGACAAAGCAUAAGCUAACAACAGGCAUCGAAGAGCUCCCGUUCAUCAAAAGAUCUGUCAAGAUCAAGUAGAUGACAAAGU
rnacentral:lncRNA from 1 species